rnacentral:lncRNA from 1 species
GCUCACACGUUCAAUGUACUUUCUGCAGAAGUAUCCAAUCAUACACACAAUCAAUUUGACAUUUCAGUAUAGGAGAACACAAAUUCAUCAGCUUCAGGGCAUAUGCAUAACAUAAUUGGGAUUAGCAGUUAAACUGCAUGAUGGAUCUCACACGCUACAUGAUUUAUCGGUAAACACCAAAUUCAGUAUAGAGACAGAAAAUUUAAGAAUAAGCUACAGUCUUUUUUGCACCAGCCUACUGUCCCCAUUUGCCCACAUGAGAGCGUUUAUCCUCCCCUCCUUAUCAGCCUGCACGUGAUAUGUGAAGUGAGGAUCCUUUGAACCAAGCUCCGCAAACACCUCCAACGUUUAACUAACAUCAUCAGCCUCUUGCUCGCGGCUUAUUUUGCCACACAAGCUCCUUGAAGCUCUUUUUGUGAAAGGCACAUUCUCCGUCGACCCAAAGAAACUGCCUAAUGUUGUGCACUUUAGCAAGGUUCACAUUGUUCUGCCUCAAAUUCUUCAUCAAAUACCUGCUGUACACGUUGAUGUGCUUGUGCGAUUGUCAGUGUAUCGUCUGCACAUACGUGCCAGACAAUGAAUGGUUCAGACUGCAGCAGCCUUAUCAGAGUAGUGCACUAACGCUGGCAAGACCAGUAUUAUCCACAAUAGAUUUCCACUGCAACCACAAUUUAACGACAAAUGAGACGAUGAACAUGUUAGUGAAACAACCAGCUCACAAAAAAAGAAUUGAAACCAGAUUCACAUACCGUCCUCUCGACAUUCAGACAGCUUUUAGCAUAUCGAAUGUCAAAUCCUUUCUCCCAUAAAUACAGAUUGUAAAAAUCGUAUGCUUCAGAGCUUCGGCACAAUGGCGUUGUCUCCAAUAUCUGAAGCAAAUCCACGUAUUGCCCUCUCCAUGACAGUAGUUCGAUUAGGACAUUGGGCUCCUACCAGGGACGGCAGCACCAAUCCUCACUCUGCUUGCACAAAACAGAAUUUAUAUCUUCAGUGCAGCUGAUACUAUACACAGUACUAUCAUAUAUUGAUUAUUUAAGCACAUCAAACCAUAUGGCCAAAGCUGCUAACAAGUUCCAUCAAAGGAUUAAUCAACAUUGUCAGUACUAUCAGUACAAGACCCAUAAGCCAUACCUAUCUGAACCUAAUUCAAAAAUGACUGAGCAUUGUGUUGUCUGUACUAUCCUGUGUGUACAAAAUGAGUCUUCCAAUUAUUCAGCUGUUGUCCUAUGAAUUAUUCAGGAGCCUCCCCCUUCUGGGUUAGAUGUUGAACGAAACCAAAAAAAUUCAGAAAUAGCACGACGAAUCCAUAGCUUCUGAGCUAUUCUAAAUAUGACAAGAACUCUAAUCAGGAUUAUGAUUCAGGGCUUGGGGACUGAACUUCACAAUUUUCCACCGACCAACACUAAUAUUUCUACAAUUUUUAAGCUGAAGAGUUACUACUUUUUUCUGAUGAUUUUACUAAUUUCCAUUUCAGAAGUAAACAACCACUUUUCACUUAGGUUCAAAAAAAACCACUUUUCACUUUUCCUAGCUAUUCUAAAUAUGACGAAUUACAUGCCGUCGUGUCCAUCUGCUCAAUUGACUGCUCCGAAGUUAGCGGGGAAGCUUCAGUUUCGCAUCUGCCGCCCCUUGCGCCGCACAGAUCUGCCCCAUGGCGCUGCCCGACCACACUCUGAGUCUUGGCUGCUUGAUCCAUCCCAUUGUGGUCGUCGGUGCUGAUAGAAAGUUAGAUAAAAAUUGUGAACAAAAAUAAGUAAAAGCCCCUCUUCUGGACAAAGUAAGAUAAGAACCUCUGCUACUCUAAUGUACAUCCAUGCAACCAAAACUCUGAGAAAUACUCAUAGCAACACUGAUCAACAGUUCUCGAAAGACAUUCCAGAUUUUUGAACAACUACAGGCCAUUAAGUAUUAACGAUAUCCAGAAGUUGUAAGCUCAUGGUACUCCUACUAUCUCACGACUAACUAUAUCCGAGCAUUUAUUCAUAGAUCAUGCAUACUCAUACUAUUUUUAUGUACAGAAUCAUGAUAUAUCUUUGUUAAAUCAAUUCCAAUGCAUGCACAUGCACAAGUCUGAACUAAACAACCAUAUAUGAUGCAUAAAUUAAACGUAAACCAGCCAAGCCCCAUGUAAAUAAAAUACUGAAUUUGUAAAUUGAUGAGUGAGAGAAUUAACUGACCAAUAGUUCUGUACUUCAGCAAGAUAUAGAUGACAACAUUCUAUGAAAAGAAAUCACACUGUCCUACAGAGCACAAUCAAACCAUUCCCGGUUCAGUUUAGUAUAGAAGUACUACACUACUAAAGGAGAGCUAGUUCUCACAUAGGAACAAAAUAAGAUCAAUCACGCAGGGUCCAACAUUCAUAUAGAUAAACAAAUAUCUAUGCAACAUCACGACACUUGCAAGGUAACUGUAAAGCAUGCACAUGGCACAUCAUAUAACUAAGGCAUAAUGGUGAUUUAGUGCUGGUUUUCAAAUAAACGCAAACAAUGCUACUACCACCACAAAUUAAGGCUCGCAAUAUAAAACAGAGCAAUUGCCCAAGUAUUUAUUUUGUGAGUGUCGAAGCAUGAUAAAUGUGAGCGGAAAUCAUGUCUUAUGAAUGAGCAGUUCGAUUUUCUCACAUGAUAUAGUACCUGAUGCACCCGUGACUGGAUUACUGCUUGUAGGGGGAAAGCAAGCACAGCGAAGCUUCAGAAAUAGCACUAUAGGGAUCACCAUAUUUUACAGAUAAAAUUUUCAUUGUUAGCCUGUCCACAAAAUCGGCAGAAAAAUAUCAUGCUUAUAUUACAAAGCAGCAAGCAAGACACCUAGGUCCAAUCUCUCUAUCAUAAAUGAAAAGCAUAUAACUACUACAUUCCUUAUAAAUUAAAGAUGUUUAGAAAGUCAAUAUAUUAGCCAUCAAAAUCAAGGUGCUGGAGGAAACAAGAGGCAAAGAGAGAGGGCACCAAAUUAGCUUUUUAGGCCACCCAUGUCGCACCUCCCUGCGAUCAGCCUUACUGCUGAGGCAUCACUGAGUGGCGAUGCCAUCGCGGCAGAGCUCUUGGACAAGACAACCCUCGUUAGUUCUUACCAUUCUUCUUUAAAGAACCAAGUAUAUCAUCAUGAUGGCCCGUGAACCCCUGUAAAACACAAUGAUAGCAGUCAAUGGCAUACAUAUAUUUAUAAGAAAACAUAUAUAUACUAUGAAUGCAGCAAACUUUGCUCAUCUACGAAACAGAAUAUACUUCAUCGUUUAUAUGGGUUAGCAUAUUAUAGUACUGCACAUGUAGCAAAAAUACCAAGCAACCAAGAACCUCCUGGAUCGACAACAGAAACAACCAAGAUGCACUGACUUUUCAAUACAAAUGACUAAACAUAUAUAACCGCCGAUGCAAAAAAAACUUAACUCCCAUGCAUUGCAAAAGUGACCUCAUUAUGAAUCUAUUUUUAGAUGAGUACCAAACAAAUUUCUAGUGAAGUAUCAUCACAAAAAUGGUAAUGGUAAGUGGAAAGGACAAAGACUACACAAUUGUUAUCUAUGAAAAACUGGAGUAACUAAAUUUCAAAGACCAAUGGUGGUGCAAGUGGCAUAUUGUGCCAUUUUGAGCAAAAACCAUGGAAGGUAAAAUGCAGCACAAAGGAAUGGAAUUUAUUCAAUCACUCUGAGAAGACCUGGCUCGUAGUAAUGAAAAGUGUGUAUUGCUGGCCAUAGACAAUGAGAUCAUUCAGACCGCGAGCUUCCAGUCGACCACCAUAUGAAGCAAACAUAACAGCAAGCUUCCAGCCAGUGACCAUAUGAACCGAAGACCAGUGAUCAUCCAGCGGACGACCAUAUGAAUUGAAGAUAUCAACUAUAUAAGUAGUACAUUUUUCAGUAAAGCCUGAGAUUGUUGUAGUAAAGGGUGUAGCUAGAAUCUGGACCUUAGAUUCAUGUGUACCUGCAGAAAAUAGGAAAGGGGACAUGAAAUUAUGCUGAUAGAAAUAUAAAUUCAAUUGUGUGAUUACUAAUUCAAAUUAAAAAUAAAUUCAUGAGGUGUCACUGGCAGCAGAACCUACACCUCACAAAGUAAAACCUGCCACCAGUGGCAAGGCAGCUAAGCAAAGUAAUUCGGUAGUUCUAAUGAAACUAAAGAUCUUAAGCCUGGAGAGCCCUUCAAACUGAACCAAAACAACUGAAUCAUCGCUAACAAAAUUUCCUUACAUACAUGAUACCUAACUAAUGCACCUGUGCUAACAAAAGAACAUAAGAAAAUCGUUGCUUUAUAAUAUAAAGCGGCGGGAAACCCUUUUUCCUAAGAACAUAAGAAAACAUCAACGAAUAAUUAUUCAGAAGUCAACAUGGCUGAGAACCCAGGGAUCUAAAUAAGACGUGUGCAGAUCCCAUUUUUAUGCCUAGGUAGUCAAUUAUACCAAGAAACAAAAUGAGAUGGGUAUUGCCUCCAAAAUCGUACCAGCAACUUUACCAUGUUAUACAGAGAACCUCUCAACUAUAAUUUAAUUGACAAUAGUAACAGUCUCCAGCUAUAGUAGCAGGGCCGAAUUCUCUCAACUAUAUAUUGCAAAAAGGGUUGUCGUAGUCUCCGGCUUGGCUGGUUUUACCUUGAACAAAAUUGCGAUUUAGAAAAGCAGCGUGGGUUUUCUGAAGAAGCUCUUGUACCAGUCAAUAGUCCCAUUGCCUGAUUGGAGUGAGGGAGAAAUGCAGGUAAGAAGAAUGAACAAGCAUCCUGAAGUGAGAGUAGUAAAUAACCAAGAAAUGAACCAAUAAAAAACAGAAAGAACAUUCACUAUCAGACAGUAUAACUUGGAAAUGAAAACUAUCUAGCAGAUUAGAGAUAGAGCUCACCUUGUUUUUUUCCUCUUCCUCAAGAUCCUUCCUCUUCUCUUCUUCGCUCGAUCUGCACACAUCUUGUUUAGAAAAACAUAAAACAAGAUAUCCAAAUUAGAUUAAAGAACCAAGGGAAACAACAGGGGAACCUGCAUGAGUUUUUCUUCUGCAUCUUCCAUGGAUGACGAAUAUCACAAAGAAUGUUGAGAUCCAUCUUGGCCUCACCUUCUGCCGAGGACGACAACGACGAAGGCACCAUGGACCACCGCUUCGCUAGCAUCACCGCCUGCUGCGGCUGCUGCUCCCCUCAUCCCCGGCGGCGCCACCACUGGAACAUGAGAGGAGGUGAGGAAAGGUGACGGCCUCUAUCACCCCGCGGCGCCGGCGACCGCCAACUCCAGAUCGAAGAAUUGGGAGGAAACGAGGAGUUGAGAGGAGAGGUGGCGGCCAAGCUCACCUUGACAUCUUCCAAGCUCCUCCCGUGCGCACCAUCUUCAGCCGUCAGGAUCUCAUCCAUGAAGAUGCUACUUUUCCCUAUCGCCGGCCUCUCCUCCACCCCGUGAGGCGUCCGCUGCCCGGUCUUCGGCCUCUCUGAGCGGGUGGCUGUGGAUGCAGUAACUGUGGGGACCAAGGGGAACGGGGGCUAGGGUUUGGCCGGCGGCUGGCACGGAACUGAGAGGAGGGAGGGGGCCGACGACACGGCGGAGGAGAGGAGGUGGCCGAGGUGAGCGAGGAGAAGAGGGGCGGCGACAUGGGAGAGGAUGGAGGUCGGAUGGAGCAGGGGCAGCGACCGCGGGAUGGUAGGAAAGGGGGCUAGGGUUCGUGGCGGCUGAGGGAGAGAGAUCGAGGACGGAGGAAGGGUUGCGGCGUGCGGGCGAUUGGAUUGGGCCGACUGCACCCACGCCCCCGCAAAUGGCGCGACGCGCACGCGGCGUGCGGGGAAAGGGCACACCUGCACCUCGAAACGGCUCACCCAGCCAACAGGAACAGAACACGAGCCCACCAGUCAUUGGACAUGAGAACUUACCACGCGGUCAAAAUCACCAGCGAGAGCAACGAGCAUCUAACGGCUCAAACGAAGUCAAAGACCAGAUUGACCACGAUUCAACGGCCAACGAAGGCUGAAAUCGGAGGAGCCUCCUGGAGGUGAGUUGGGUAGCCUCUUUUUUGUUUUAAAUAUAUGUAGAAAAUGAUGUAUAUAGAAUGUAAUUCCAAUUGAAAAUGGAUCCCAUCCGAAAAAAAUAGUAGAAUACAAACGGGAUUCGAAUUGAGUUGGCACGGUAAACGUGCACUGUGCAAAAUUUGAACGAAGCGGGGAAAAUCGCAGUAACUGCCCGAAACCAAAAUCUGCGAGAUGGAAAUCACUACUGCCUAUCCCUGUCGCGCAAAGCCUAUAUGCUGGAUUUCUAUAGGUUUCGAUAGGGGUAGGUUUGUAAUUUCACACAAACGUGACGUAACCGCCUCUCACUCGGAUUCAUACACGGUGGGCGCCAAAACACAGUGUGCCCUCGGCCGAAAUCGACUCCCUCCCCGAUUCAUAUUCAUACACGGUGGGCACCAAAAAUAAACUCUCAUCGGCAAAUAUCCGGUGUAUGCGAGAUUACCGUCCUAUCCCCAACCGACUAAUAUUGUUGUGAUGUAGUAGAAAUUUGAAACGGGGGCUAAGUUUGUAAAUUUCCUCGCAUUUGAGACAAGCGCGCCCUGAAUACAUGGUCCCCCCCCUUCCUAUCUACCUCCCUUUUCUCCAUUCGUACUAUGUGGGCGCCAAAACACCCUCUCCGCCCACCCUCCUCCGUCCGCCGCCGUCCGCCACCCCAUCCACCGCCGUCCUCCUCCACCAUGUCGGAGCUGAUACCCAACGCCGCCGUCCUUUACAAGAGAUCGACCUCUCUCAUCCACGCCUUCGGACCGGGAUCCUUGCAUCCCGUCCUCUCGCUUCAUCCCCGCUGUCGUCCACCUUGCCGGCGCCGCUCCUACGACCGUCUCGUCCACCGCGCCCCGCCGCCACCGUCUACCCUCCUAGAUCUGCUUCCACGCCGCCGACAGCCAUCGCUACCGCAACACCGUCAAAUUCUCACCAGAUGCGUACACGGCGCUGCACCAGAGGCGGUACUCUUUCAUAUCUGCUCAACUUAUUUAUCGCAGCAAGAAAAUAGAUCGCCACUGCUUUACUCCGAUUUCUUGUCUUGGUUGCGAAGUUGCCUUUGUCCAGUUUGCACCUUCAGAUCCGCCAAGGCACGCUCAACACUAUACUCCCAAUGCUUAUGGUUUUCCCCUUUUAUAUUCCACACUAAUUAAAUCAAAGUAGACUAAAUUUCAAAAGUGGGUCAGUCGAUUUUUCAGAGCUCGCGGAGUUCGCCGGUGCGAUCCAAGGGGCUCGGGUGGUUGUGGGGCCUUGACGAAUGAAGAAAACUCGACGCGGGUGGGGGGUGGGGGUGGCGGAGGAACACAGGCGGUGGGGGCCGGUGCUCCGGCCGGCGGCCCGUGCGGUGUUCUGUAUGGGAAGAAUCAAAGACAAGGAAGAAGAAAGGUUAGGAGACGUAGGAUCUUCAUCCAACCGCCUGAAAUGGUCGAGAGACAGCUAGGAGUUGCAUUCUUAAUGCGCUCUGGUUCAUCAUGUGUGGGCACUGUGCAACCAACAUUUUAUUAUCCAAAAUCUGCUUGCUCUUCUUUACCAUGUUCGAUAGUGCUGGCCUGUACGUGAUCGAUAGGCUUUCAAUUACUAGCGGCAAUACAACACCGUAUUUUCAAGCCAAUUCCACUUUCCCGAUUUAUAUAUCGUGGUUAUGGUGUACCCCUGUUAUGUACACUAUGAUCUGCCUAGUUGCUGUGUGCUCUUGUUAUCAUGGUUUGGCAAUAAACUAUCUAUACAGUAUAUUAUGAACCUAUCAUCUGCCAGCUAUCCUUACUUCUGGAGCCUAUUUUUUGUGUACUUGUGCCAGAUUAUAUAAAUGCACGCACGAUAUUACAGCACACAUGAGCUCUCUCAUCAGAAUCCAGUGAUAGCACAUAAGUAUUUACAGGGGCGCCCCUAUAUUAGAAUAUCAUCUGCAUUACAAAGAUAAUCUCACAACUAUUUAUGUUUUCAUGGUUCUCAGAUAUUAUACGCAAUUAUAGUGAAUAUCAGAAUCCACGCAUCAGAAGAAUAUUGUGGAACACUGCAAUGACUUACAAAAUUGGCACCAAGGCAUUGAGUGCCAUUUUGGAAGCAAUGAAACGCGUACGCUCCCCACCUGUUGAUUCUUGUUCAGAAUAUCAUUCUAAUGACUAUUCUAACCUCGAGGAGUCAAAGGCAGAUGGCCUGUCCUGUUCACCCAUCAAGGUGCCUGUUUUAAUUUGGCAAGGUUUUAUUGAUUGCGCGUAUCUUACAUAUGUUGUCUUGCAUUUCUUCUACUUUGUUGCACCACCAUCUGCUUAGUUUACUCAUCAUAUAACUCGAGAUGCUAUGCCCAUCCAUUAUCAAUACAUAUUCCAUCUGUCGUCAUACCAUGUUUUUUCACUCAAAUAUUGUUCUUGUGCAUCAGACAUCAAAAAGGAAGAGGGUGAUUGCUGAACCUGAAGGAGCACCAGCAAAGUCCUUGAAAAACGUGGUGGUGCCGGAGAAAUCAGACAUCGCCCCACUUAUAUUGGCUGUACAACCAGUGACACAAAACAUAGUACCGACUCCAGCAGACUGUACCCAUACUUCACUGGCCACACCACUAGCCCCACCACACAGGACCUGCACUCUAGCAAAAGGUAUACCGAUUUCAUUUGCCAUAGCACCAGUCGUACCACAGAAAAUUCCCACUCCAGCAAAACGUACAGCAAGUCCACCGGCCGAAGACCUAUCCCAACUGCAGAGACGGCCAAUUCCUGCAGAUUGGAACCCCAUUCCAUUUAUUCCCAGUUUAAAAGACAAUGCUUUCAAUGUUGUUAGGGACUACGUGCAUAUAUUCCCAUCAUGGGAAGAUUAUAGUGAAGACAAACACCAUUUUCACAUCUUCCUGUCCAACUUACGUGUAAGUGCCAUUAUUCAUGGUUAUUAUUUUCCUGUUUUCUGCUGAUCGAACACAUCAAUGAUUUACAUUACAUUGUUGUAACCAGGUGAGGGUCAAUCUGGAUAGUCAUGACGAGCAAAGCUUGCUUGUGCUUUUCAAGGAAGCAUUGCAGCAAUAUCGGUGUUACCUAAAGAAAUCACAUUUUGAUGGCAAGUCUACGAACGAAUUUUUGGUGAAGUCUCCUGUGCUAAAUUUAGAAGACAUUGAAUGGAAAAACCUUGUUAUGCACUGGUCUCGUUCCUAGGAUGGGGUACUGUCUAUGAAAUCACAUGACAAUUUGAAUUUCUACUUUUCCGCAUGUGCCUUACGGAUCUUUUUUGCAGGAAAUCAGCUCGAAGAAGAAUUCCGGUUUGAAAAGAACGACAGGAUAUCGCAAAUAUGCUGCCCGCUGCUUUGCUCUUGUUAGCACCUGUUGUCCUGUAUCACUGUACUUGCAUACAUACCUGGUUCAUUAUGUGACAGCAGUAUGCAUGAUAGCUUACUUAUCAAUUGUUCGCUCCAAAUUAUCUGAUAUGUAUGAAUGGUUACAUUAGUGUAGAAUAUAUCCAAUGCCAAUGAAUUUUUUUAGCUCUGUAUUGUUCUUGUAAGUACAUGUUGUCCUUUAUCAGUGUACUUAUAUUGACAGGUAGUUGUUCAUGUACCAUCACUCUGCAGCUUAUUUUCCUUUGCCCUCCAUUUUCUACACAUCAGAUCUAUAUUUACUCUUACCAUAAGGUCGGUACUGAAGAAGUUUAGCUAUGCAUUGCUCUUGGCUGUGCCUCUUGCCUGUAUCGCUGCACAUACAUUUAUAGCUACUUGAUUAUGUAGCAUCACUCUUCAUCUUAUCUUAAAUAUUCUCUAUUUUUUGUAUAUUAUCACAUCUAUAUUUACUCUUAACAAAAUGUAGAAUAAAGGCAAUGCUUAUGAAGAACAUUCUGUGCUAAACUUCUUGAAUUGCCCCCCCCCCCAUCAGCAUGGACAAGGGCUUUAUAGAGCCUAUCUUCACCAGUAAUGUAAGUUUGCCCUUCUCAAGCCUUUAAACUUUGUUGUGUAUAUUUGGUUAGGCAUGACUGCAACAGCUGUUUAUUUUUGAUGUUUGCAUCAAAUUGCAUGUUUAAAGUUUAUUAUGUAAUUCAUAAACAAAAGUUUGUCCUUCUCAAUUUAAGUUUCCAGUUGUACAACCAAGUUCCUUCUUCAUACCAUGUAAAUUAAACUAUACAGAGCAAGUGAUCUUCUUUUGCAAUGCAUGUAUGCUUCUGUUCUUCAUUCGUAAUCCAGUGGUGUGGUGAACCUACCCACUACAACACAAUGUCAUAUUCUGCAAUGUCUUAACUAUGAACAAUGUCAUAUCAUUCUACUAUUAUUUAAACCGCCUCUUUAUUUGCCAAUCUGAAAUGGGAUAAAUUGACAGCACACUAACCAUUGAUACUUAUGAGCUCUUGAUCUGUAAUCCAGUGGUGUCGUGAAGCUGCCAACUCCUUCACAAUGUCAAUUCCUGCCAUGUCUUGACCUGAACAAUACCAUAUUGUGUUAAUGCAAUUUUAAACUGUGUCACUUUAUUUGUCAGUAAGAAAUGUGAUGAAUUGUCAGCACUGAUACUUUUAUGUGCAAAACAUGUCAUCUGUCUGCUUGUUUAUCUUUCAGAGUGAGGAAGAUAUAAGUGUUGAACAAGCGCAGUCUCAUCAUCUUGCUCACCUGCUUGCGCUGCAGCUCCCCAACAGGGCUAACCUUUCUUGAACUCUAUUGAAGUGCUGUCGGUUUUGUAUAUUAUUUUGCCGGCGUGUUUAUUUGCACUGGUGGCGAUCUUUGAUGCCCAGUGUAUGUAAUCUGCUGUCUGCUUGUGCUUUAUUAUCAUAGUGGCGAACUUUGAUGCCUAAUGGAUGUAAUAUGCCGUAAUUUCUUUAUUGUAUAGUCUAGGUUUUUUCUUAUUCAUGAUGCUGCAGUUAUUUUACUGUAUAUAUAUCCUGUCUUCACAGUAAACUGGCCAAACUGUAAAAUUACGGUACAUAAUCGGGCCGUCAUGCAAUCACGAUGUAUGAUCCGCAUCAUGGGCCCCGUCAAACUGGCCCACUAGUAGAUACGGGCCUUUAAUAGGCCGAGUAACCCCCGGCCCUCUUUUCGCAAGAAAACUCAAUGGGCUUUUAGGAGUCUGAGAAGUAGGCUGGGCCUGAAACGUGCCGAAUAGCUCACGGGCCGGCGGCAGCCCGAAAUGGACCCUGGCCCAUGAUUGUGCGAAUCAAUUCACGGGCUUUUAACAGGCCAAAGUUGUCUCGGUCCUUGUUUGUCCCAAUCAGAUAUCGACUGCGAGCAGGCCGGAUGCAAACCAGGUCGUAGUUAGGCCCAACUAUAUGACGGGCUUUUAACAGGCCGAAAUUAAUAUAGGGCCGAAAUGUUAAAUGGGCCCUUAAUAGGCCGAAACUAAUAUCAGACCGAAUUACUAAAUGGGCCUUUAGCAAGUGGGCCCAAAAGCAUAGCGUCCAGUCAAUGGGCCGAAUAUGGUAUGGGCCAUAAUUGAGCCCAAAGCCUCUUAAAGGGCCGAACCUGAUCUGGGCCGUGAUUUGGCCCAGAAAGUGGGAGGCUUUUAACGGGUCGGAUCUUAUAUGGGCCAUUACUAGGUCCGGAACGUGGCAGGCCAUUAAUGGACCGGAUCAAUUAUGGGCCGGCAUUUGGCCCAAAACAUGGCAGCCAGUUAAUGGGCCGGCCUACUAGGGUCCUCAAAAUCUUGUGGGCCUGGGCCGGCCCAUUAAUGUUGGCGAAAUCUCGUGGGCCUUUAGCUGGGCCAGCCCAUUAUGAUCCGCAAGAAUUUUGUGGGCCUUUACCUGGGCCGGCCCAUUAUGGCACAAAAAAUCUUGCGGGCCUUUACCUGGGCCGGCCUAUUAUGGCCCACGAAAUCUUGUGGGCCUUUAGCUGGGCCAGCCCAUUAUAGUUUGCAAAAUCUCGUGGGCCUUUAACUGGGCCGGUCCAUUAUGGGCCGCCAAAUCUUGUGGGCCUUUAGUUGGGCCGGCCCAUUUAAACUUGAUUGGUCGUGCCAUGUGUCGACGUAUCAUAGGCGCCUUCUGUCCAAUGAGUGGAUGACAUCUGUCCCAACGAUGAGCCGACACGUGUUUCCUCCAGCCAAUGAUGAUUUUACACGUGGAAAAUCCCCAUUGGUCGGGGCUGUUAACGGGUUAUCGGAUCCAAAACCCGACCCGAUAGCUUAACGGCGUUCCGUUACGGUGGAUGCCACGUGUCGGUCACCCUUGACGAAAGCACUUCUGUGACGCGCGAUUUAUUGUCAUGGAAGUGGACACUUCCGUGAUGAUAAUUUUGGUAAUGUCAUGGAACACUUCUACGACAGCACAUGUAUGACUAUCUUGAUUCUGUCAUAAAUUUGUCAUGGAUGUACAUGCAUGACAAAAAACCCGACCUACUAUGACAAACACGUAUCAUCACGGAAGUGUAUUUUUUUGUAGUGCCAACAACACCUACAAAGUACUUUUAGUUUCAUACUUGUUCUAGGUAAAGCGAACACUAAGCGUGCGUAGAGUCGUAUCAGUGGCAUAUAGGACUUGAGAGAAUAUUUGUUCUACCUUUAGCUCCUCGUUGGGUUCGACACUCUUACUUAUCGAAAGAGGCUACAAUUAUCCCGUAUACUUGCGGGUCAUCAAGACCUUUUUCUGGCGGCGUUGCUGGGGAGUCAUAGCGUGGGGUGAAUAUUCUCGUGUGUGCUUGUUUGCUUUAUCACUAAGUAAUUUUUAUUUGUUGUUAUAAGUUGUUCUCUAUCUUUAGUUAUGGAUAUGGAACACGAAAUACCAAAAAAAUUAGGUGUACUUGCUGCUCAUGGAGAUGGGGAACCUCCUAAAACCCUCGAUGCUGGUUAUGUGAAAGAUAUUAUGUACUACUUUGAUAAUCCUGAGAAAACCCCAUUCAAUUAUGUUAUGGGAGACACGUUGGAUCAACGUGAAUACUUUAGGGAUUAUCGCUUGACACAAAAAGGAAAACUAUUAUGGGAUCAAAUUCAUAUGUUGCGUUGGUAUGCUCGUCAACUAUGCUUGAUAUAUGAUUAUACUUGUUGCUCUAGGAUGAAGGCUCCACACCUUCCCUUUUCAUGCAAAUUUAAUAAUGAUAAAACCUUGGCUUCUUAUGCUAAUGGUAUCUAUGAUUACUAUGAUGUGGAACAAAUAGAAGAAUUUGUUGCUUUUAUGGGUGCUUAUGAGAUUGAAUCUAUGUUUAAAGCGUUUGACGAUUUUGAUGAUUCAGUUUAUAGACCUGAAAAUUUUGCUAUACUUAAAUAUUGUUAUGAGAAUUAUGAAUACAAUUACAAUAUUGAUGCAUUUAUUGAGAAAGUCUCCGCUGUCCAAGAAGAGACUAAUAUUUUGCAGGAAGCUAUGGAAGAAGAAAUUGAUGAAACUGUGAGCUCAUUGGAUGAAAAAGAUGAUGAGGAGAGUGAAGAACAAAAGAAGGAAGAGUGGAUUAGCUACCCGUGCCCACCUUCUAAUGAGAGUAACUCUUCAACUCAUACAUUGUUUAAUUCCCCUUUGUGCCUACCGAAGGAUGAUCGCUAUGAUCCCUUGAAUUCGUUUGAAAUAUCCCUUUUUGAUGAUGCUUGCUAUGAUUGUGGCCACGAUGCCAAUAUGAAUUAUGCUUAUGGAGAUGAACUUGCUAUAGUUCCUUAUGUUAAACAUGAAAUUGUUGUUGUUGCACCCACGCAUGAUAGUCCUAUUAUCUUUUUGAAUUCUCCAAACUACAGUAUAUCGGAGAAGUUUGUGCUUAGUAAGGAUUAUAUUGAUGGGUUGCGGUUUACUACUACACAUGAUGAUUUUGAUAGAUAUAAUAUGCAUGUGCUUUCUGCUCCUACUUGCAAUUAUUAUGAGAGAGGGACUAUAUCUCCACCUCUCUAUGUUUCCCACACAAUAAAAUUGCAAGAAACUAUUUACACUAUGCAUUGGCCUUUACUUGGUGUGCAUGAAUUGUUCUUUUAUGACAUGCCGAUGCAUAGGAAGAGAGUUAGACUUCGUUGUUGCAUGAUAUAUGUUACUUUGUGCUCACUACUAAAUUACAAAUCAUUGUUAAUUAAAAUUGGCUUUGAUAUACCUUGGGAUCCGGGUGGAUUCAUUACUUGAGCACUUUGUGCCUAGCUUAAUGGCUUUAAAGAAAACGUUGCCAGGGAGACAACCCAGAAGUUUCAGAGAGUCGUUUAUUUUUGUUGAGUGUUUUUAUAUAGUUUAAAAAUAAAAAAAUAAAGAGGGGAACCUAAAACUUUUUCAAAAAGGAAAGUGAAAGUGAGAGAGACAAGCAUUGUUGAAGUGGGAGAGCUCCUUGAACUUUGUUCAUGCUCACGGAAACUUUGUGAAUCUUGAUUACAGAAACUUUUCAACAUAAAUAAUUAUACCCUUGUACAAUUCCAUUGUAUUAUAAAAAUAAUGUGCUAAGGUUUGCCUUUAGGAUGUUUACAAUGCUUGUUGGUUUGUACGGUGUAGGACAGAAACUUUGGCUGUAGUGCGCGAUUUUACAUUUUUAACUGGAACAUCAAAUGGUUCUGAUUCCUUUUGAAAUGUCUUGCUGUACAAAUGUUUUAUUUUUCCUAAUUUUUGUAGAAUUUUUGGGGUACCAUAAGUAUGGUGAAUGUUCAGAUUGCUACAGACUGUUCUGUUUUUGACAGAUUCUGUUUUUGAUGCAUAGUUUGCUUAUUUUGAUUAAACUAUCAAUAUAUCAGUGGAUUAAGCCAUGGAAAAGUUAUAUUAUAGUAGAAACAAUGAAAAAACAAAAUAUUAAUUAGUUUUAUACAAUACUUAGAGUAGUGAUUUGCUUUAUUAUACUAACGGAUCUAACCGAGUUUUCUAUUGAAGUUUUGUGUGGAUGAAGUGUUUGAUCGAGGAGGUCUCGAUAUGAGGAAAAGGAAGAGAGGCAAGAGCUCAAGCUUGGGGAUGCCCGAGGCACCCCAAGUAAAUAUUCAAGGAGACUCAAGCGUCUAAGCUUGGGGAUGCUCCGGAAGGCAUCCCCUCUUUCUUCAACAAGUAUCGGUAUGUUUUCGGGUUCGUUUUGUUCAUGCAAUAUGUGCAAGUCUUGGAGCAUCUUUUGCAUUUAGUUUUCAUUUUUCUUUUAUGCACCAUGUUGGUAUGAGAUAGUCCUUGGUUGAUUUAUAGAAUGCUCUUUGCACUUCACUUAGAUCUUUUGAGUGUGGCUUUAUAGAAUGCUUCAUGUGCUUCACUUAUAUCAUUUGAAGUUUGGAUUGCCUGUUUCUCUUCACAUAGAAAAUCGCCAUUUGUAGAAUGCUCUUUUGCUUCACUUAUAUUUGUUAGAGCGUGGGCAUAUAUUUUGUAGAAAGAAUUAAACUCUCUUGCUUCACUUAUAUCUAUUUAGUGAGAUGACAGGAAUUGGUCAUUCACAUGGUUAGUCAUAAAAUCCUACAUAAACUUGUAGAUCGCUGAAUAUGAUUUGUUAGAUUCCUUGCAAUAGUUUUGCGAUAUAAAGAUGGUGAUAUUAAAGUCAUGCUAGUGGGUGGUUGUGGAUUGUAGAGACACUUGUGUUGAGGUUUGGAGGUCUCGUAGCAUGCACGUAUAGUAACCGUUGUGUGACAAAUUGGAAGCACGGGGUGUUUCUUUGUUUGUCUUCCUUAUGAGUGGCGGUCUGGGACGAGAGAUGGUCUUUUCCUACCAAUCUAUCCCCAUAGGGGCAUGCGUAGUAGUACUUUUCUUUGAGAGCUAAUGAACUUUUGCAAUAAGUAUAUGAGUUCUUUAUGACUAAUGUGAGUCCAUGGAUUAUACACACUUUUACCUUUUCAUCAUUGCUAUCCUCUUCGGUACCGUGCAUUGCCCUUUCUCACCUUGAGAGUUGGUGCAAACUUCGCCGGUGCAUCCAAACCCCGUGAUAUGAUACACUCUAUCACACAUAAGCCUCUUUAUAUCUUCCUCAAAACAGCCACCAUACCUACCUAUUAUGGCAUUUCCAUAUCCAUUCCAAGAUAUAUUGCCAUGCAACUUCCAUCAUCAUCAUAUGCAUGACUUGAGCAUUUAAUUUCAUAUUGCCUUGCAUGAUCGUAAGAUAUCUAGCAUGAUGUUUUCAUGGCUUGUCCGAUUUUUGAUGUCAUUGCUACACUAGAUCAUUGCACAUCCCGAUACCCCAUCGGAGGCAUUCAUAUAGAGUCAUAUCUUUGUUCUAGUAUCGAGUUGUAAGUAAAUAAAGUGUGAUGAUCAUCAUUAUAGAGCAUUGCCCCAUAAAAAAAGAGGCCAAAGAAGCCUAAAUAAAAAAAGGGGGCCAAAGAAGCCCACCAAAAAAAGAGAAAAGGGGCAAUGUUACUAUACUUUUACCACACUUGUGCUUCAGAGUAGCACCAUGUUCUUCAUAUAGACAGUCUCCUAUGUUAUCACUUUCAUAUACUAGUGGGAAUUUUCAUUAUAGAACAUGGGCUUCCUCAAAUGCCCUAGGUCUUCAUGAGCAAGCAAGUUGGAUGCACACCCACUUAGUUUUCAGUUUGAGCUUUCGCACACUUAUAGCUCUAGUGCAUCCGUUGCAUGGCAAUCCCUACUCCUCACAUUGACAUCAAUUGAUGGGCACCUCCAUAGCCCGUUGAUUAGCCGCAUCGAUGUGAGACUUUCUCCUUUUUUGUCUUCUCCACAUAAACCUCCUCCAUAAUAUUCUAUUCCACCUAUAGUGCUAUAUCCAUGGAUUGCGCUCAUGUAUUGCGUGAGGGUUGAAAAGGCUGAAGCGCGUUAAAAAGUAUGAACCAAUUGCUCGGCUUGUCAUCGGGGUUGUGCAUGAUGGGAGCAUUUUGUGUGACAAAAAUGAAGCAUGGCCAAACUAUAUGAUUUUGUAGGGAUAAGCUUGCUUUGGCCAUGUUGUUUUGAAAAGACAUGAUUGCUUUAUUCUUACGCUCAAAGUAUUAUCGUAUUUAUGUCAAAUGAUAGACUAUUGCUUUGAAUCACUCAUGUCUUAAUAUUCAUGCCAUGAUUAGACAUAUGAUCAAGAUUAUGCUAGGUAGCAUUCCACAUCAAAAAUUAUCUUUUUUAUCAUUUACCUGCUCGAGGACGAGCAUGAUUUAAGCUUGGGGAUGCUGAUACUUCUCCAUCGUAUCUAUAAUUUUUGAUUGUUCAAUGCCAAUAUUAUUCAACUUUCAUAUACUUUUGGCAACUUUUUAUACUAUUUUUGGGACUAACAUAUUGAUCCAGUGCCCAAUGCCAGUUCCUGUUUGUUGCAUGUUUUAUGUUUCACGGAAACCCAAUAUCAAAUGGAGUCCAAACGGGAUAAAAACGGACGGAGAAUUAUUUUGGAAUAUUUGUGAUUUUUGGGAGGAAGAACCAACGCGAGACGGUGCCCGAGGGGGCCACGAGACAGGGGGCGCGCCCCAGGGGGGCAGGCGCUCCCUGGGCCCUCGUGGGCACCCCGUAAGGCGGUUGACGCCCUUCUUUUUCCGCAAGAGAGCUAAUUUUAUGAGAAAAAUCUGGGCAAAAGAUUCACCCCAAUCGGAGUUACGCAUCUCCGGAUAUAAAAGAAAUGGUGAAGGGGCAGAAUCUGGGAACGCAGAAACAGAGAGGGACAGAGAGACAGAUCCAAUCUCGGAGGGGCUCUCGCCCCUCCCACGCCAUGGGAGCCAAGGACCAGAGGGGAAAUCCUUCUCCCAUCUAGGGAGAAGGUCAAGGAAGAAGACAAAGAAGGGGGGCUCUCUCCCCCUUGCUUCCGGUGGCGCCAGAACGCUGCCUUAGGGCCAUCAUCAUCACCGUGAUCUACACCAACACCUCCGCCAUCUUCACCAACAUCUCCAUCAUCUUCCCCCAUCUAUCUACAGCGGUCCACUCUCCCGCAACCCGCUGUACCCUCUACUUGAACAUGGUGCUUUAUGCUUCAUAUUAUAUCCAAUGAUGUGUUGCCAUCCUAUGAUGUCUGAGUAGAUUUUCGUUAUCCUAUCGGUGAUUGAUGAAUUGCUAUGAUUGGUUUGAGUUGUAUGUUUUAUUAUUGGUGCUGUCCUAUGGUGCUCUCCAUGUCGCGCAAGCGUGAGGGAUCCCCGCUAUAGGGUUUGCAAUAUGUUCAUGAUUUGCUUAUGGUGGGUGGCGUGAGUGAUAGAAGCACAAACCCGAGUAAGUAGGUUGUUUGCGUAUGGGAUAAAGGGGACUUGAUGCUUUAAUGCUAUGGUUGGGUUUUACCUUAAUGAUCUUUAGUAGUUGCGGAUGCUUGCUAGAGUUCCAAUCAUAAGUGCAUAUGAUCCAAGAAGAGAAAGUAUGUUAGAUUAUGCCUCUCCCUCAAAUAAAAUUGCAAUAGUGAUUAUCGGUCUAGUAACAUAGUCAAUUGCUUAGGGACAAUUUCACAACUCCUACCACAACUUUUCAACACUCGCUAUAUUUACUUUAUUGCAUCUUUAUCUAGACAGCCCCUAGUUUAUAUUUACGUAUUCUUUAUUAUCUUGCAAACUUAUCCAACAACACCUACAAAGUACUUCUAGUUUCAUACUUGUUCUAGGUAAAGCGAACACUAAGCAUGCGUGGAGUCGUAUCAGUGGUAGAUAGGACUUGAGAGAAUAUUUGUUCUACCUUUAGCUCCUCGUUGGGUUCGACACUCUUACUUAUCGAAAGAGGCUACAAUUAUCAUGUAUACUUGUGGGUCAUCAUGUUGCUGUCUGAGAUAUCUCAUUACUACUCUCUAGUUGAUUAUGUCAUUGAAAUAACUUUAAGAGUUAUUGUCGACAUGGUUAGUUAUAAUCUUUGCUGAAAACCUGGGUGCUGCUUAAGCUUAUUUAUGAAACAAGAGCAAAAGAGUUCGUAAAAGUUUAUCUUUUUCACUUUCAGUUUAUCAACUGAACUGCUUAAGGAUAAGCAAAGGUUUAAUCUUGGGGGAGUUGAUACGUCUCCAACGUAUCUACUUUUCCUAACGCUUUUCCUCUUGUUUUAGACUCUAAUUUGCAUGAUUUGAAUGAAACUAACCCGGACUGACGUUGUUUUCAGCAUAACUACCAUGGUGUUGUUUUUGUGCAGAAAUAAAAGUUCUCAGAACGGAACAAAACUUUGCGAGGAUUUUUUAUAUUAAUAAAGAAAAUUUCUGGAGCCAAGAGCCACCUGAGGGGGGCACCUGGGUGGGCACAACCCACCAGAGCGCGCCUGCCCCCCAGGCGCGCCCCGGUGGGUUUUCCCCACCUGGUGGCCCCGCUGACCGUGAAACCGACGCUAUAAAAUCACAUUAUUUCAGAAAAAAUAAGGGAGAAAGAAUAAUCCCGUUAACAAGACAGAGCCGCCACCGUCUCCUGUUCUUCGUUGGGAGGCCAGUUCUGGAGUCCGUUUGGGGCUCCGGAGAGGGGGAUCUUCGAUCUUCAUCAUCACCAACACAUCUCCAUCGCCAAUUGCAUGAUGCUCCCCACCAGGAGUGAGUAAUUCCUUCAUAGGCUCGUUGGUCGGCGAGGAGUUGGAUGAGAUUCAUCAUGUAAUCGAGUUAGUUUUGUUAGGGCGUGAUCCCCAGUAUCCACUAUGUUCUGAGAUUGAUAUUGCUAUGACUUUACCACCAUUGUAUCCAUGUUCUAGAUCCGAUCUUGCAAGUUAUAGUCACCUACUAAGUGUUAUGAUCUGGCAACCCCGGAGUGACAACAGUCGGGAUUACUCCCGGUGAUGACCAUAGUUUGAGGAGUUCAUGUAUUCACCAUGUGUUAAUGCUUUGUUCCGGUUAUCUAUUAAAAGGAGGCCUUAAUAUCCCUUAGUUUCCAAUAGGACCCCGCUGCCAUAGGAGGGUAGGAUAAAAGAUGUCAUGCAAGUUCUUUCCAUAAGCACAUAUGACUAUUUGCGCAAUACAUGCCUACAUUAUAUUUAUGAACUAGAGCUAGUGCCGUAUCGCCCUAGGUUAUGACUGUCUCAUGAUGAAUAUCAUCCAACAAGUCACCAAUCCAAUGCCUACAAAUUUAUCUUAUAUUGUUCUUGCUAAGUUACUAAUGUUGCUACUGCUAUCGUUACUGCUACAAUACCACUACUAUCACUGUUACCAUUACUGUUGCUGCUACCAUUACUAUCAAAACUAUCAUAUUACUAUGCUACUGAUCACUCUAUUGCAGAUAAUUAAUCUCCAGGUGUUGUUGAAUUUACAACUCAGGUGCUAAUACCUUCAAAUAUUCCUUGGCUCCCCUUGUGUCGUAUCUAUAAAUUUGGGUUGAAUACUCUACCCUCGAAAACUGUUGCGAUCCCCUAUACUUGUGGGUUAUCACUAAUUUUCUCAAUCUUGAAAAGCUCUUUCAAGCUUGGUAAGUUUGCUGAGAAAAGGACACUCAUAUUUGCAUAGUCUUCGAUUACUACAGAAUCUGCCAGUUUUUUUAGUAGCGCUGAUGUUGUGAUGUCCAAUGAGUUUGUUUGAGGCAAGACAGAAGGUAUUGGAAAAUUCAUUAAAUCAUUUGAACUUGUAUCGAAAUUAGAUUUGUCUUCGAUCUUUGGGGGAGCGAACUCUUUUGUAGGACAAGAGAUUAGCAGUUUGGAAGUUGCUGAUUCCUUUCUAGUUGUAGAAUAAUUCUCCUUCAUUGAGAGUUCACAUCAUCAAUAUAUGCUCAAAGUGUUGGAAUGGAGUUUGUAACAAGCGUUUCCCAAAACUUUUGGCUGCUAGAUUCAAGAACUGUUUUCUCCUGUAUUCAUAGAAAGAAGGACAAAAAUCAGUAAAAAUAGUUUGGGUAAUACUCGAGGGUAGAGAAGAAUAGAGGUUGGACAGGUGAAGUGGUCUGCAGAAGACACGUACUUUAACUUGUCCGAGCAAUGGGAUCAAAGAGGAACAAUAUGGUCGAAACCACAGUUGCAAAGGACCACAUAUAGAUAACAGAUGAACUUAUCACAAGGGAUUAUUAUUAUAACCAGAAGCUUCCAUGAUAAGUUCCACAUCAGGUCCAUGGGCAUGAACACAAAGGUUCAAGGUCGACUCCCACUUCUCUAAUGCACAACUUUCCAUUCACUUCUUGCAUUCGAAGAAGUUGUAACGUUGAAAUUUUACCUGAUGAAAAGCCACUAGAGUGUAACCCGCAUAACUUUCGAGUUCACACGGAUUUAGGGAAGACAUAGAUUCAACCCAUCGGGGCAUCUUAGGAGCAUAUACCACGAACUUAGGAAUAAAUAACUCAAGCUCGGAAGCAGAGCAUGAUUGACAAAAGCAGGGGAUACAAUUUACCAACGGCAUUAUGUAUCCAAGGAAAAGCUCACAAAGUUACAGAAAAAGAAGGACAUUGUCGGAUAGAACCCAACAAAGGACCUGGUGGUCCACGAGGGAUCUGAUGUGAGCAAUGGUACUCAACCAGAAGAAGAAAGGAUGCAAGGAGAUCAGGUUAUAGAAACAACUAACUAAUUCAAAGCUCAACGCAACGGAAUUAUGAUUUCCAAUUCAAGGGAUCAGAAGCAGAGGCUUUGAUCAAAGACAAGUUGGAUAGACAUAGAUCGAUAAUCAAUCAAGGUUUGAUUUGCCGAACAGCAGCUCACGUCUGGAGUGACAUCUGAGCCAAGGGAAGAAUUCUAAUUAGGACCGAUGAUCGUGAGCAUUCACGAACUUAUCAAACCAAAUGCUUGAAAUUAUGAUGACAAGGAUGCUAAUGAGUAUUGCUAGACAUAUGGAAGUAACCAUAAUGCAAGCCGUUAAGGAGGAACACGAGUAAUGGGCUAUUUGAGCAUUUUCGGAAGAUCAAAUAGUUUUUCAGGGCAUCUUGUAAUAACAAGAGCAAUUGGGGAUGAAGGUAUGAAUGGCAAUGUAGGUAGUUACCCAUAAGGAUUUAUCGGUGGUAGGGAUCGCAACAGCGAAGGGCACAAGGGUCUCUAGAAAACUUCGGAGAAAGGGCACAAGGGCACAAGGGUAUCUUCAGAAUCUUCUGGUGCACCAAGCAAUCAUCUGGAGUGAGGGGCUCUUCAGGAGAAAGUAUUUUCGAGAACCUAGAGUUAGAGUUAACAAACUCAUUUAACCCAAAUAGAAGAGAGAUUAGAGUCCCAGAGUAUAGACGAGGAAUAAAAGAUCAUAAUACCACCCAAUGGCAACAUGGGCCCGUAAGCCACACAACCAUGUUAUUAAAACAAUUUUUCAAAGUCUAGACUCAACUUCGGCCAAGGAGUUGGAAAGGGGGAUCCUACAGGUAGUCAGCUCUGACACCAACUUGUGACGCCCCCGAUUCAAUCGUACACUAAUCAUACACGCAAAUGUGUAUGAUCAAGAUCAAGGACUCACGGGAAGAUAUCACAACACAACUCUAGACACAAAUAAAAUAAUACAAGCUUCAUAUUACAAGCCAGGGGCCUCGAAGGCUCGAAUACAUAGCUCGAUACACAAGAGUCAGCGGAAGCAACAAUAUUUGAGGACAGACAUAAGUUAAACAAAGAUGCCUUAAGAGGCUAGAACAAAAGCAACAAUGAUCUAAGAGGCAAGGCCUCCUGCCUGGGACCUCCUAACUACUCCUGGUCGUCGGCGGUCUCCACGUAGCAGUACCCGUCGGCGGUGGCAUCUGGCUCCAGGGAUCCACCAUCUAGUUGCAUCAACCGGAAAUAAGAAAGAAGGGGGAAAAGGGGGUAGCAAAGCAACCGUGAGUACUCAUCCAAAGUACUCGCAAGCAUCAGAUCUAUACUAUGUAUGCAUUGUUAUCAAAUGGAAGGGUUGUAUCUGUGGAUUGAACUACAGAAUGCCAGAAUAGAGGGGGAAGGCCUAGCCUAUCGAAGACUAGCAUCUUCAAGUAGCUCCAAGCAUCUUGCAGCAUGUAGAAGAGUAAAGAAUAGCAGUUUAUAAUUAUCAAACAUGUUGUAAUAUUAAUGCCCAAAGAUCCUUCCUCGACUCCCAACGAGAAAGCAAUCCCGGAGCCACAUAUCCAUCACAUAUCUCAAGUAUCCAUUUCUCAUUAUAUAAGAUCAGGAUAUAAGUCUGAACAUGCAUUACCGUGGACACGGUAUUCAAAUAUAUAUCUUCCCUGCAGGGGUGCACCACAUUACCCAAUACACACGAUCACUCUGACCAGACACACCUUUCUGGGGUCAAUGCCCGACCUCGGAAGAUCAACAUGUCGCAGCCCUACCUAGGCUCAGUAGAGAGGUCCUCGCCGGUCUACAUCCUAAGCAGCCCGGGGUCUGAGCCCAUCACCCGUUGCACUCUGGUUCAUUGCGAGCAGGGCGGACCAGGCUCCACCAUUACACGAUGGUGCCGGCCCAGCCGUGCCGCACUGCUGAAAUGGACGUCUGACAAAGCUUCGGCUGAUAUCACGACAUUGAGACCCGUAUCUAUUCUCGCAUGCUGGUUAGUGCGUAAAGGCCAGAGGCCAACUCAGAACAAAUACCCAAACCUCUUAGUGCAUUGGGGGCUCGCGGAAACAAGUAGAGACUCACGAUAAUGUGACCCCAUCGCCCCGUCUCGUGGACUUACGGCAAGGGCCCAGACUUCCCGGACGUGCCACGUGGAAAACUCACGGGUGCUCAACGGGCCCGCCCGACUUUCACAUCAAGUCGCGGGUACCCCUCAGGGCCGACCCGACUCCAACAAUGGUCUCAAGUAAAGUCAAGGUAAUUGUGUGUCCAGACAUCAAUGGGAAAACCCGAGGAAUCACCCCCGGUGGAUUCUACUCAAUGUAAUCAUCAAGGUGAACGUAAGAGGGACCACCCUCGAGGUUCACACUUGAGGUGUUGAACGAUAGAGCCGUAUCAGGAAUGGUGAAAGAGGAAAUCACCCUUGAGGGAGUCCUGGACUAGGGGGUGUCCGAAUAGCCGAACUAUCAUCAUUGGCCGGACUCCAAGACUAUGAAGAUAGAAGAUUGAAGACUUCGUCCCGUGUCCGGAGGGGACUUUCCUUUGCGUGGAAGGCAAGCUUGGCAAUAAGGAUAUGUAGAUCUCCUACCAUUGUAACCGACUCUGUGUAACCCUAGCCCUCUCCGGUGUCUAUAUAAACCGGAGGGUUUUAGUCCAUAGGACGAACAACAAUCAUACCAUAGGCUAGCUUCUAGGCUAUGCAUCAGAAUAGGAGCAAACAAUAACAGUAGCAAAACCUAAUGCAAGCAUGAGAGUAUAGAAUGGGCGAUAUCGGGAUGAUCAAAGGGGGGGCUUGCCUAGUUGCUUAGACAAGAAGGAGGGUCGUCGGUGACGUAGUCGAUCACAGUGGCAUCAGCAGCGGUCUCAGGGUCUACCGGAGAGAAGAGGGGGAAGAAACAGUAAAUACACGCAAACAUAUGCAUAACAUGACAAUAAGCGAUGCUAGAGGUGUUCUAACGCAGAGUUACACGAUACCGGUGAUGGGGGACAACAUCCGGGAAAGUUUUCCCGGUUCUGGACGUCUGUCAAACACAUGAACCAAAGGAGAAAUGUUGCAUGUUCGCUCUGCUAGGGACGUGUGGCGGACGAACGGACCGCGUGUAUAAAACUUUCAUGUAUAAAACUUUUUCAUCUGAGCAACUUUCAUGUAUAGAACUUUUUCAUCUAAGCUACGGUUUAUUUUCUAUGUUUUUUCAAAGAUUUAAACAUUAUUUUGGAAUUUAAUUUAAUUCAAAAAUAAAUAACAAAAUGCUACGUGUACCCAACUCUAUGUACACAGAAGUGUACCAGAGCUGAUAUGUGGGCCAGGGGGUCCCAGUUGACCAGUCAACGUUUGACUGGUCAACAAGGGGUGGGGCCCCCUGUCGUACACUGGCUAGUCUAGUCUAAUAGGUUAGUUAACUAAGCUAGGUGGUUAGUCUAAUUAAGUUUAAUUUAUUAAGUUAAUUAAGCAUUUAGCUAAUUAAUUAAUUAUUUUUAUAAUAAAUAUAUUUUUUACAUUUCUUUAAAAAAAACAGGGGCGUGGGGCCUCGCUGUCAUAACCCCAGGAGCCUAGUGGGCGAAGGGCGUCACGGUGCAGGCAUGGCCCGAACGGCCACGGAAGAGGCGAACGUGCCAGGGCGCUGGCGCUGGACGCAGGAGGUGGCCACGGGGAUCACCGGCGGUGCGGUGGGGCGACAGAGAAGGCGGCGCGAGGCGAGCAGGCGCCGCGCGGGGGCAGGGACGAGGCCAGGUGCGAGGCCGUGGGGAAGCAGCUGCUGCACAGCAGUACGCGGAUGAGCGCACACGCGCGGACGAGCCGAGUACGACCCUGGGCGACAGCACGCGCAUGUGGGAAGAAGGGGGAUUCGAGGAGGGGCUCACGAAGAUCCGGUAGGGCAGGUCAGUGGGCUCGGGGAGGCGCUGAUGAUGGCAAAUCGAUGACAACGAGCUUCGGCGACCAACGGUGAAGACGAAGAUGGUGACGACGAUGGGGCGGCUCCCCCAGCUUGAUCUGGGCCCGAAGCCACCGUAGACGAGGACGGCGGUCCUCCUCGACACCAGCGGACGGCGAACUGGCGCCAAUGUACAUGGUGGUUCGCGGUGGCGUGCUCCUGUACGUGGCUAGUAGCUCGAUCUAGAGCGAGGGAGAGGUGAGGAAGAGGGGGAAAACAACUAGGGUUCGACAGAAGGGGAGGGUCGACGAUGUUUUGUAGUGUGCCGAGUGUGUCGGAUGGCCGCCACGCAAGGCAUGGCGUGGCCAUGGCCUACAAAUGGCCGCCACGAUCCCCUUCUCUGCUCCUGUAGCGAGGGGGGAGAUGAGUGGGGUGUGGGUUGGGCCUCCCAGUAGACUUAGGGCCCAAUUACACAUUAGGUAGGCUUUUUGUUCUCUCAUUUUUUUUCAAAUAAGUAGCUAUUGUUUGCAUUUAUUUGAGUGAGCAAACAAUCCUUGUUAUAGAUGGAACUCCACACAUAAGUAUAUGUCAUUACUCUGGAGAGGCCCAUAAAGUUUCAAGUCGAUUUCAAAUUCAUAAACAUUUAUUUGUUUUGAAAACCCAAGAUAUUUGUUGUAGGACCACUCAUAAAUUUACUAGGAAUUUAUUGGUGAGUCAAAUGAAGUUGGUUUCAACAUGACAACGAUUAGGGGAAUUUAUAGAAUUAUUCAAACAUUUUAGUUUUGACAUUUAAAAACUUUUAUUGUUUAGCUUGAUUUUGAAUUUUAAAAACGAACGGGAUUUGAAUCAUCACGAUAGUAACAACAGUAACCAUUGUGACGUGGUAUCAUUAGUAGAGGUUACUGUAGCUUGAUUAUCGGGGCGUCACAAUUCUCCUCCACUACAAGAAAUCUCGUCCCGAGAUUUAAGUGGUGGAGUAAAGGGGAAAGACUCGGGAAGGACGGAGCUCAACACAAGAUAGGUACCUGGGGGCUAUCUCAGUGAAUGUGGCAUAGAGGCGUCUCUCGGGUUGAAAUUCAAGAAAGUCAUCGAGAGCAAGGUAAGAAGUUGCAAUAAAAAGCUUCAAUUGGGUAAGCAAUCAUUCGUUGCCUGAAACAACGGGUGAAAGGGGUUUAGAGUAAUGGGAAUAAGUAUUGGGUCUGAAACCAAAGUAGCUCACUAGGAAGGUGGCUCGUGAAUUACAUACGAAGCCAAGCGUGAGGAACAAUUUUGGAAGACAGGGAUAUACAGGAGACUCAGGUUUUGAUCCUAUGGAACUGUGGGUUAUGGGCCCACCAUGUGGAACAAAAAUUAGAAGGGUGAUGUCAUCUUGCAUGAUCUUGAUAGCAAGGCAUGUCAGACAAUAACCUGUCAGUUAUGUCGGCAACAACAUCGGUACAAAGGGCGAGGGACGAAGAUAACCAUUUUCCCUGCUCGUUAAGACGAGGCGGACCAAUAGGCAAAGUUCUCGUCCAUUGGUGGCUACCAGAAUGUCAUCAACAAUAGUAACAAGGUCUUACUGACAGAGUUGUACACCGAGGUGUUUACAUAAGCAGGGUAUUAUCACUGCUCAGAUAUGUUAGGUUACAAGAAAGGUUAAACAAAGCAAUGGAUACUUGAACCAGUUAUCGGUGUUCUCGAGUGUCUAACAACUCCGAACCCGUGGAAACUUUGAAUCGGGGAGAAAUAAUAGUUGAGGAAGAACUCAUAAGAAGUUAUGUAGUUCCGUGAUAUUCUCGAGAUACAGGAGGGUAAUACUCGAGGGUAGAGAAGAAUAGAGGUUGGACAGGUGAAGUGGCCUGCAGAAGACACGUACUUUAACUUGUCCGAGAAAUGGGAUCAAAGAAGAACAAUAUGGUCGAAACCACAGUUGCAAAGGACCAAAUAUAGAUAACAGAUGAACUUCUCACAAGGGAUUAUUAUUAUAACAAGAAGCUUCCAUGAUAAGUUCCACAUCAGGUCCAUGAGCAUGAACACAAAGGUUCAAGGUCGACUCCCACUUCUCUAAUGCACAACUUUCCAUUCACUUCUCGCACUCGAAGAAGUUGUAACGUUGAAAUUUUACCUGACGAAAAACCAGUAGAGUGUGUUGGUGUACAAAAGUAGGGGUUCUCCUUUUGACCCCUUUACUUGUGCACGGGCAGUCAUAGCCUCCCACCACGACCACGCAUAACAGGACGGGAAAGGGAAGCCGGAGAGAGGCCGAAGCCACAAGACAAACGAAGCAAUAACAAGGACCAAGGCCACAAAGAUCAAAUGGGCGAAGAGGGUUUCCCCGGCAAGGGCCCCUGCCGGGGGCAGCCUCAGCAGCCCCGGCAAGACCCUUGCCGGGGCAGCCCGCCCACGCCAGCCGAAGUGAGCCACCCUUGAGCCCACCAACGCCCGACAAACGCAUUGGGACAGGGCUCGGGAGGCACCUCUGUGGUGGCAUGCAGAUCUUUGUGAAGACAAAGAAUAGACAAGAUCAAAAGAGGAUAGGAAGGCAACCAUCCUCACCGAGGAAACCCACAAGACCCCCAGCAAGAUCCUUGCUGGGGGCGCCUACGCGCCACGGCAAGACCAUUGCCGGGCCACCCGGCAAGACCCUUGUCGGGCCACCCAACAAGGCCCUCGCCAAGUGCACCAGCAGGGCCACCGCUAGGCCCGCACAAGCCAAGUCACCGCCGGUGUUCGCAUGUAGCCGCCGACCCAACUAGCUGGGCAGGCGCAUGCGUGGCAACAUGCAACCCUUCAUAGAGACUCCACCACCGCGCCACCUCAGCUGCCUGCCUGCCUACAUGGCACCGCAUGCGUCGCUGGCCAGGGCGCGUGUCGAAGCCUGUAGGAGCAGCGAUAGACGGGACGGGCCUCGCCCCCGUCCCUGAUAAAGUGAAGGGACACCUAAGCCUUGCAUUUAAUGCGUCUUGUCCUGUAAUACGAGCAAUAAGCUCGCAAUGUUGUAGCACUUUCCACCUUCUGUGUGCCACUGUGGCAGCCCCUUUUACCUAUAAAAGGAGGCCCAUGGCAUACGGGCAAAGGAUUCGGCUGUUUUGAACCUCACAGCACCCAGAGCUAGUUCGAGAGCUCAAGAACACUAAUACAUCCACCAAAGCAGGAUCGUAGGGUUUUACGCAUCUUUGCGGCCCGAACCUAGGUAAAUCCUCCUCGUGUUGCCUGCUAGUCCCGCUCUUCUCACGAUCCCCGCGCCCCGCAACCGUAGAAGUGAUCCCAGUGACCCCAUAGGUGUCGUUUCCCACCGACAUCUUUGGCGCGCCAGGUAGGGGGCGCGCAAUUGUGAGAAUCUGGCUUAGCAGUCGACCUGGUUGCUCUUCAUCGCCACGGCUCCUGCGGAGAAGGCGACACUACCCAUUGGCAGGAAGGACACCGAGGCGGCGACGAGAGAGCUAAGUCAUGCUGAAUUUCAAGUUUUUCUCCUUAAAUAUAAGGUUAUUGUCCUCGACGGUUCGGCCUAUGUAUGGGAAGCCUAUACGCAGAUGGGCCCUCCUGCGAUCACAACGCCCUUGUUCUGUUUCGAGUCCUCUCAACAGUUCAAGUGGCCGCAUCGAGAGCGGUGGGGUAGCCUUUAGCCAUCGGCAACGCUCUCGGUUCUGACUCGAGUCAAGUUCGACAGAUCGAGCGGCCGCGCCAAGGGCGGUAAGGUGCUUUGCCCGGCAACAAGCACACCCGGCAGGGUAAUGAGGAUCCGUCCUCAAAGCGUCGCCCUGGGUUUACGUGCCGACAAGCUUACCUAGUUGGCGUGGGGUGGACAUACAAAGGAAAAUCAAACAGGAAAAUAACAUGCAUAGUUUCAGGAGCACUGCAGAGUUAUGUUACACAAAUUGCCGCCGCGGUUCUAACUAAAGAUAGCAUUGUCUUGGUCAUGAACCUGCAGCGGUGAUGGAGAACGGGACGCCUAGUCCCGGCACUGGCCCUCCACCCUCUUGAUUUGUUGAUGCAGCUGAGGAUGGGCUGGAUAUGCUCAUUGAGCACCGUGAUGUCGGCAUCCUUCGGCAAGCUCUUCAGCACAGCUCCAAAGUCAAGGUCGGGGUGCCAGUGCGCGAUCUUGGUAAGCACCCUGGUCAUGGUCCCCCGACAGAGUAUCUGGGAUUCCUUGGCUAGGGAGGCCACCCGGUUGGAGUGAAGCCGCUUCAGGGCGCCGACGACCUUCUCGAAGUAUAUGGUCAGGCUGGCGUUGGGGCUCAGGCUCGCUUCAGGGGCGUACCCCAUCUCCGACAUCCCCAUAAUGGCCAGCUGAUCAGCGGUCGAGUUUGCAACGGCAGCAAGGCGCCUGAGCCAGCGUUUCUCGCCUGCCUUGUAGUCCUUGAGAUUGGCGGUCUUGUUCAUUAGCAGCUGCUUCUCUGUCUCCAGCUCUUUGGUCAGGAUCCCCUCCCGGGUCAUGGCCCCCGACAGCGUCUCCUAGAACUCUCCCAGCUUCAGCUUGAGAUCUUUGAUGGAGAUGUUGGCCUCGGAGAGCUCUCCAGACUUGCUGAUGACCUCGCCCUGCGCCACCAUCAGGGCGUCGUUGAGCGUAUGCUUCUCUUGGGCCAGCUUCAGAGCUUGCUCCUCCAGCUCCUUCACCUUGCCGGCGUGAGCCUCAGCCAUGGCGUUGAGGGCCUCCUGAUGCCUCCGCUCCAGCUCUUGGGUCCGCUGCAGGACGAGCUUGUCCACCUCUUCGUCCUUGCCGUGGAGCGUGGUGGCAAGAUUCUCCUCGCGCUCGGCAAGAUCCUCCUCGUGGUCUUCAGGGCGACCUCAUGCUGGGACCGGACGGCUUCGACUUUGGCUUCGUCAGCCAACUUCUUCGCCGUCUCCUGGGCCUUCUCGAUGUCGGCUAGCUUCAGGGCAAGCUCCACCUCAUGGUUGGCCAGCUCGCCCUGGGCGGCCUUUAGCUCGACCUGAGCCUGGCGGAACCAGUCUUGCGCCUCGGCGACGCGCCCUUCAAAGUCCGCCUCUUCCUUCUCCACCAUCGCCGUCCUAGACUUGGCCUUGUCCAGACGGGCGCGGUGGAGCGCCUGGAGCUUCCGAAAGCUGGCGCCCAUGUCCUGGAGCAGCUGCUCCUCCUGGGAGCCGGCGCCACCAAUGCCCGGCUCGUCAACAACCUCGAGCCCGGCCACGGCAAGCACCUCCUCGUCGAACACCUCUCCCUCAAAGGGGGCCCUGGUGCUCGACGCGCCAAGGAGAUGAACGAAGAGGUCGUCGCUCACCCUCAGGUACCUGCCGGAGCCAGAGGCCACGGAGGAGGAGGGCAGGUCAUCAAACACCACCUCCUCGGCAGUGGCCUUGCCGACUCCCUCGGCAGGCCCCUUGCCGGGCUCUUCGGCGGGCCCCUUGGCGGCGUCCUCGGUGGCACCCCUGGCGCUCUCCUCGGCAGCAAUCUUCUCCGCCUCCUCCGCGGCGACGUCCUUGAUGGUGGUAUCGACGUCCUCUGAGGAGGGGUCCGGACGCCAAGAAAGAGACAAGGCAGAGCAAAGAUCGAAAGUCAAUAAGAAAAAAAGAGGGGGAAUGCAAGCAGAAGUGGAGAGCAAGUGGCUUACUCAUGCCGGGCUGUGAGGCAGGAGUUCCUUCUCCGCCAAGGUCUGGCGUCGAGGCGAAGCCGCCAGCGCCUGUGUUCUCCCACUCCUCUUCCGUGCGCAUGGCCUCGGUGCUUGGUGCCCUUGCCGGGGACGCCCCUUGGGGCGGCACAGUCGACGGGAGCGACACGAUUGGAGGAGUCCUCUGCGGCUCCCCUUGGUGUUGCUCCCCUCCUACAUCCACGGGAGGGUCAGUACCAAAGCAUCAUGCAUUGCGCACGUUGACAAGGGAUGGUCGAUGGACUUACGUUGGGGGCUGGGCUGGGGGCUGCUGUUCGGGCUGCUCGAUACCACCAGUGGCAUACUGGAGGUGCCUGCCGGGGGCUGGCCACUCGCCGAAAUCCUGGCCCUCUUGAUCCUUUGGGCCAGCGUCUCCACAUCCCUGCAAGGUGUAGACAAAUGAGCAAUGUCAUCAGGGGAGGUGUGAGGAAUGAGGGAGGAAAGCAGAGGCUUACUCUUUGUUCUCUUCCUCCUCCUCCUCUUUUGCUUUCCUCUUCCGCUACGGGCUGAGAGGCCCGAGCUCUUUCUCUGGGCUGAGAGGCCCGAAAUCAAACAAGUCACCUCCAAUCCCCACGCCGAUGUUUGCCGGCGAGGGGGGAGGCGAUGGCGUCCGGGCGCGCUUGGACGACAAAGAGGCAGAUGCCUUCUUCUUUGGUGCCACGGCUUUCGCCGUUCUCUUCAUCGCCACCACCCUCGUCUAGCGCAUGGACGCUUCCUGGGUUUGCCGCGGCUACACGGCCCGGCCGAGACAGAUCGGCUCGCCGGAGGUGGCCCGCUACAGGACCCGCCUUUUUCCGGUGAUCGGAGGGUCAGCGGUCGUGGCCCUCUCCUCCUCGCCCUCCUCCUCCGACGACCCGUCAACGGCGUCCUCAAUGGGGGGAGCCCCAGUGUCGGUGCCGCUGGCCUCCCCAGCGGCUGCAUCCCACCGGGCGAGCUCCCCCUCCCCCGCCUCCGCCGCGGCCUUGUCCACCACGCCGCCGGUGCUGCCAGCCUCCUUGACGAGCUUUGCCUCCUCCUCGGCAAGCCUCGCCUCCUCCACCCUGGCGGCGAUAUAAUCCAGCUCCGUCGGAGAGGUGUCCUGGAUGAGCCACGACUCGUCGGUGAUGUAUAUCUCGUGCAGGGUGUCGAAGAACUCUUGCACCACGAGCUUGUCCGGCUCAACCCAGUUCGGGUCAAGGCCAUGCGCGUUGAAGAGCGACAUCAUGGCAAUGAUCUCGUUUUGGCGAGAGUUGUUGCUCAGUGGGAGCACUCCCGCCGGCAGCUUGAAAACGGGCUCCUUGUCGACCUUGCCGGCCUUUGCGGUGGCCCUGUCAAGCUUGCCGGACCGCUCGACCUCGCCCACGUCAUCAACCUCAAGCUGGAAGAUUCGCUGGCAAAGGUGGGCGUGCCGCAGCACCGUCAGGUUGUUGUCGAGGCCGGGAUGAAGCCUGAUGAUAUCGGCAGCGUUCACGAAGAGCCAGGCCGGCCUCCCCUUGUCGUGUAGAGGGGCGAUCUGGUGGCGGAUGAAGUCCGCCCCGAUCAUCUCGAGGGUGAGCCCGGCCUGGGUAAGCAGAAGAAUCCUGGUGGUGGCGAUCGUGAGCUUCGCGUCAUCGGCGUCGACGUCGCCCCAAUCGCCGCCACAGACUGGCUGCUUCUGGCGAACCUCGCAGAACGCUGGCGGGUCCUUCUCCUCAAUCCAGCACCACUGGCCCCGCCAUUCUUCCCACCUCUCCUUUGUGGCGCCAUCCGGGUACGCCCACUUGGCCCUCAGGAUCCAGGCGAUGCAGCCAGCAAUGGCGCCCCCUUUCUGGAUCCGAGGGGAGAAGUAAUGGCGGAAGAGCGCCAUGCUGGGAUGCACCCCGAUGAGGCCCUCGCAGAGAUGGGCGAAGAGGGCCAUGCAUGCCGCGGCAUUCGGAGUAAAAUCCAGGAGGCGGAAGCCAUAGGUGUGCAUGAUGUCCUUGAAGAAAUCAGAGAAGGGGGGACAGAGCCCGCAAGAGAAAUAGUCGACGAAGAAGGGGUACCAAUGCGGGGAGGUCCCGGCGCUGGCAGGGACGACGAUCGUGGCCGGAUGCCCCGUCUUCUCUCCUCCCGUCUUCACGCCCCACAAACACUUGAACAUCUCCCGGAGCUCGGGCACGCCAACCGUCGAGGGGAAGUAGGUGGACUGCGCCCUCCGCGCCACUAGCUCGCUCUCCGGCUGCUCCGACACGUCGGCAUCCUUCACCGCUCCCUUGCUCUUGGUGGACUUAGGCGCCAUGGCGGCUGCGGGAGGCGAAAAAGCAGAGGAUGUCUGAAUCACGGCGGCGAUGGGCGAAAGCAGAGAGGCUCGUGAAGAAGGGGGCGGCGGUUUUGAGAUUGGAGGAGGGCGCGGGGGAGGGGUAAAGUGAGCAGCGCGCCCGCGGUUAUUCCUUUUUAUGGGGAAGGUGCGGGCCACCUCCUUUCCCAUUAACUGCGAUAUGACGCAUGCGUGCAAGCGUUGUCCCACGCAUGCCUCCCACGUCAUGCGCACACACGACCCCACGUUGUGUUCAACGCGGGUCGUGGGGAAGCACAGCGGACGGAACAGUGGCCGCAGUAAAAACGCGCCCCAAACUGCCCGCGCACCGUUCUGGGCCUGGCCCAACAACGUGCUGCGCUUAUGUAUGGCCCAGGCCUGGGGGCUCCUGUCAGUGUACAAAAGUAGGGGUUCUCCUUUUGACCCCUUUACUUGUGCACGGGCAGUCAGAGCCUCCCGCCAUGGCCACGCAUAACAGGACGGGAAACGGAAGCCGAAGCCACAAGACAAACGAAGCAAUAACAAGGAUCAAGGCCACAAAGAUCAAAUGGGCGAAGCGGGUUUCCUCGGCAAGGACCCCUGCUGGGGGCAGCCUCAGCAGCCCCAGCAAGACCCUUGCCGGGGCAGCCCGCCCACGCCAGCCAAAGCGAGCCACCCUUGAGCCCGCCAACGCCCGACAAACGCAUUGGGACAGGGCUCAGGAGGCUCCUCUGUGGUGGCAUGCAGAUCUUUGUGAAGACAAAGAAUAGACAAGAUCAAAAGAGGAUAGGAAGGCAACCAUCCUCACCGAAGAAACCCACAAGACCCCCGGCAAGAUCCUUGCCGGGGGCGCCUGCGCGCCACGGCAAGACCCUUGCCGGGCCACACGGCAAGGCCGUUGCCAAGCACACCAGCAGGGACACCACCAGGCCCGCACAAGCCAAGUCACCGCCGCCGUUAGCAUGCAGCCGCCGUCCCAACCAGCUGGGCAGGCGCCUGCAUGGCAACAUGCAACCCUUCGUAGAGACUCCACCACCGCGCCACCUCAGCUGCCUGCCUGCCUACAUUGCAUCGCAUGCGUCGCUGGCCAGGGCGCGUGUCGAAGCCUGAAGGAGCGGCGACGGACGUGGCGGGCCUCACCCCCGUCCCCGAUAAAGUGAAGGGACACCUAAGCCUUGCAUUUAAUGCGUCUUGUACUGUAAUAUGAGCGAUAAGCUCGCAACGCUGUAGCACUUUCCACCUCCUGUGUGUCACUGUGGCAGCCCCUUUCGCCUAUAAAAGGAGGCCCAUGGCAUACGGGGAAAGGAUUCGGCUCUUUCGAACCUCACAGCACCCAGAGCUAGUUCGAGAGCUCAAGAACACUAAUACAUCCACCAAAGCAGGACCGUAGGGUUUUACGCAUCUUUGCGGGCCGAACCUGGGUAAAUCCCCCUCGUGUUGCCUGCUAGUCCCGCUCUUCUCACGAUCCCCCCCGCAACCGUAGAAGGGAUCCCAGGGAUCCCAUAGGUGUCGUUCCCACCGACAGAGUGUAACCCGCAUAACUUUCGAGUUCACACGGAUUUAGGGAAGACAUAGAUUCAACCCAUCGGGGCAUCUUAGGAGCAUAUACCACAAACAUAGGAAGAAAUAGCUCAAGCUCGGUAGCAGAGCAUGGUUGACAAAAGUAGGGGAUACAAUUUACCAAAGGCAUUAUGUAUCCAAGGAAAAGCUCACAAAGUUACUGAAAAAUAAGGACAUUGUCGGAUAGAACCCAACAAAGGACCUGGUGGUCCACGAGGGAUCUGAUGUGAGCAAUGGUACUCAACCAGAAGAAGAAAGGAUGCAAGGAGAUCGGGUUAUAGAAACAACUAACUAAUUCGAAGCUCAACGCAAAAGAAUUAUGAUUUCCAAUUCAAGGGAUUAGAAGCAGAGGCUUUGAUCAAAGACAAGUUGGAUAGACAUAGAUCGACAAUCAAUCAAGGUUUGAUUUUUCAAACAGUAGCUCACGUCUGGAGUGACGUCUGAGUCAAGGAAAGAAUUCUAAUUAGGACCAAUGAUCGCGAGCAUUCACGAACUUAUCGAACCAAAUGCUCGAAAUUAUGAUGACAAGGAUGCUAAUGAGUAUUGCUAGACAUAUGGAAGUAACCAUAAUGCAAGCCGUUAAGGAGGAACAAGAGUAAUGGGCUAUUUGAGCAUUUUCGGAAGAUCAAAUAGUUUUUCAGGGCAUCUUGUACUAACAAGAGCAAUUGGGGAUGAAGGUAUGAACGACAAUGUAGGUAGUUACCCAUAAGGAUUUAUCGGUGGUAGGGAUCGCAACAGCGAAGGGCACAAGUGUCACGCCCAAUAUGCGACCCUAUGCAAAAAGGAACUCGAAGGUCCCACCAAGGAUAGACCCGCAUAUUGAAACGCUUUUGCAAGGUGGAUAUCAUUACAUCAACAUUACAUAAUAGAUGGGGAUACAUACAAAAGGCAUACAAUGCCACACGAAUACACCAUCAUCUUACAUAAGAGCACCAUCCGACUACGGAUGAAACACAAACAGAAACUCAAAUGACAUCCACCCUGCUAGCCCAAGCUGCCGACCUGGAACCUAUCCCCUGAUCGAAGAAGAAGCAGAAGAAGAACUCCAAAACAAGCAAACAUCGCACUCGCAUCAUGAUCAUCGCAUAACCUGUACCUGCAACUGUUGUUGUAGUAAUCUGUGAGCCACGAGGACUCAACAAUCCCAUUACCAUGGGUAUCAAGACUAGCAAAGCUUAAUGGGAAAGGAAGGGGUAAAGUGGUGAGGUUGCAGCAGCGACUAAGCAUAAUAUGGUGGCUAACAUAUGCAAAUAAGAGCGAGAAGAGAAGCAAAGGAACGGUUGUGAAGCCAGCAAUGAUCAAGAGGUGAUCCUGGACUCCUACUUACGUCAAACAUAACCCAAAGACCGUGUUCACUUCCCGGACUCCGCCGAGAAGAGUCCAUCACGGCUACACACGCGGUUGAUGCGUUUUAAUUCGGAUCUGGUGUCAAGUUAUCUACAACCGGACAUUAACAAAUUCCCAUCUGCCACAUAACCGCGGGCACGGCUCUCGAAAGUUUAUACCCUGCAGGGGUGUCCCAACUUAGCCCAUGAUAAGCUCUCGCGAUCAACGAAGGAUAUUCCUUCUCCCAGGAAGACCCGAUCAGUCUCGGAAUCCCGGUUUACAAGACAUUUCGACAAUGGUAAAGCAAGUCCAGCAAGACCGCCCGAUGCGCCGACAUCCUGAUAGGAGCUGCACAUAUCUCGUUCUCAGGGCAACACCGGAUGAACACUACGUACAACUAAAACCAGACCCCAAGUUUCCCCGAGGUGGCGCUGCAAGUGGCUCUAGUUCGGACCAACACUUAGACAAGCAUUGGCCCGGGGGGGCUGAAUAAAGAUGACCGUCAAGAGAGCGACUCCCAAGGGAAAAGUAGGUGGUGGUGAGGCAAAUGGUAAAACCAAGGUUGGGCCUUGCUGGAGGAGUUUUAUUCAAAGCGAACUGUCAAGGGGGUCCCAUAAAUCACCCGACCGCGUAAGGAACGCAAAAUCCGGGAACAUAAUACUGGCAUGAUGGAAACUAGGGCGGCAAGAGUGGAACAAAACACCAGGCAUAAGGCCGAGCCUUCCACCCUUUACCAAAUAUAUAGAUGCAUUAAUAAUAUAAGAGAUAUUGUGAUAUCCCAACCAAAAUCCUAUCCACCAUGGAGUAAUCUUCAACUUCACCUGCAACUAAGAAUGCUAUAAGAGGGGCUGAGCAAAGCGGUAACAUAGCCAAACAACGGUUUGCUAGGAAGGGUGUCAAAGGUUAGAGGUUCAUGGCAAUUAGGGAGGCUUGAAGAGCAAAUGAUAGGUAACGUAACAUAGCUAUAGAACGAAGCAACAAGCAUAGCAAUGAUAGUAGUGAGAUCCAGGGUAGCGGUCAUCUUGCCUGAAAUCCAGCAAGGAAGAAGAACGAGUCCAUGGAGAAGAUGAAGCCACGAAGACGAACCACACGUAGACGAACGCAUCCUCACGAUCGCAACGAAACGGGAACUAUCGAGAAGAAGCACACAACAUAGUAAACACACCACACAUGAACAAGACAUGAUGCACAACAAGCAUGAUGCAUGACAAAGCUACAUUAAGCUACUCAUGGCAAGAUGUGAUGCAAACAAGAACAACACAUCAAGGCAAGUUUAAAUGAGGCCGGAAACAACAUAUAACAAUUCCGGUAAGUCCUCAUAUGCAAAUUUAGAAAUGGGUCCAGAUCUGAAUAAACCUUAUGUUCAAGUUGUUAAACAGCAAGUUAAGAUGCACCAAUAUGAUCUACAUGAGAUUCUAGUCAAGUUACAUAUAAAGUUCAUUUAGUUCGGAGCUACGACCUAGAAGAUAUGAGCAAAACAAGUUAAGCAUGGCAUUGAUGCAAAAUGCACUCAAACAUCAAGCAAACACCUCAAAACAAGGAUGCAACAUGAUAAUAUGAAACUACAUACAAAAUCAAGCAAGUUCCAUAUAGAGCACACUCAAAACGGAGCAACGGUUCAACACAUACACUCUAUACAAGGCAUAACAACAAUCUGUCCAAAACAGCAACUAGGCAUAUUGCAAGCAUCAAAACAAUAUGCUACAACACCACAAUAUGAAAACAAAAGGCAUGGUCAUGAUGUACAGGUAAAGCAUGACAAAACAUGAACACUGAGCUAUCUCCAGAAAUCACUAGAUUAUGCUCCAAAACACAUGACAAGAUUGCAAAUAAUAACAGUUUCAGACUUAUCAGGAAAUAACAUCAGGUUGCAAUAUUUACAGCUAUCAAACAACAUGUUACAGGAACUUAUCAUGACAAACAAAGGCAUGGCAUGAAUCUACUAAACCCAUAGAACAAAAGUCCCUUAGUGACCAUGAGCCAAAAGGGCACAGAAAAUAUGAUGGCACCCAUGUAAACAUGGCAAGUUAUAUGACAGAUUCAUACAUGGCAGGAACAACAAUAAGUAGGCUUGUUGGUGAGUUUGAACCACUCACCACAAAGCAAUACAUGGCAUGGAAAGGCAACCAACAGUAAUAAGACAUGUUUAUUAAGCUAAGCAUGGCAAGACCAAGUUCAUAGGAUGCAUGGAUCACUAGCAAAGCACAUGGCCAAAACUGAACUUCAUGUUAACAGGCUGACAGCAACAUUAUUUAGCAAGUUUGGAGCAAGAUAACAACAAGCUACAGCAGGCUAUAAUUGCAACCAGGGGCAUGAAUGGAUAGAGCAUGACAUGUACAACAAAACAUCCUUAGUGAACAUCUCCAGAUUAUGCAUAGAAUGACUUGUAGCAGCAGGUUUACACAGCAACAAAAUAUAACAGAAUCAGUCAGGAAAACAGCAACAACAAGUACCCUACUUCACAAGCUCGAUGCACUGAGUACAAGAUUCAUAAAAAUACAUGGAUGGCACCACUGGAAAGAUGGCAUAGCAUAGUUCAAAAAAUAUGUAGACAUCAACCUCAUAGGAUGCACACAUCAAACAUGUCAAAAAUGACAAAUGAGCAUGUUAUAACAGUUUCAGCAGGUUAACAUCACAUAGCACUCUUACAACGAUGAUUUAGGCAUCAAGAUGAGCUCAAAUGAAAAUGAUGCAAUGAGAUGAAAUGAAGUACUCGUCGAGACAAACAAUUUGACAUAUUACACGCACGAAACGUAGCAGUAUGCAUGGAGUUAUGAUGUGAUGAACAUGGCAUGAUAAUGUUGAAAAACUGGGACUUAGACGAAAAUCUCACCCCGCAAAAUCGGGACAGAACCGUUCGGGAUGGAUAGAUCUGGGCGGGGACGCACGUUUGGUUCAGAUCCCGGUGGAUCUCGUCCCACCUGGACGGAUCUGACCGGAUCCGAACUCCGGCAAGGGCGGCAGUCUCCGGCGAGGUCUUGGCGGCGCGGGGAGGCGCAGGAGGCGGCGGCGGUGACGGGGACCAGCGGGGCGGCGCAGGGUCGGUUGGCAGGGCGCUNNNNNNNNNNNNNNNNNNNNNNNNNNNNNNNNNNNNNNNNNNNNNNNNNNNNNNNNNNNNNNNNNNNNNNNNNNNNNNNNNNNNNNNNNNNNNNNNNNNNNNNNNNNNNNNNNNNNNNNNNNNNNNNNNNNNNNNNNNNNNNNNNNNNNNNNNNNNNNNNNNNNNNNNNNNNNNNNNNNNNNNNNNNNNNNNNNNNNNNNNNNNNNNNNNNNNNNNNNNNNNNNNNNNNNNNNNNNNNNNNNNNNNNNNNNNNNNNNNNNNNNNNNNNNNNNNNNNNNNNNNNNNNNNNNNNNNNNNNNNNNNNNNNNNNNNNNNNNNNNNNNNNNNNNNNNNNNNNNNNNNNNNNNNNNNNNNNNNNNNNNNNNNNNNNNNNNNNNNNNNNNNNNNNNNNNNNNNNNNNNNNNNNNNNNNNNNNNNNNNNNNNNNNNNNNNNNNNNNNNNNNNNNNNNNNNNNNNNNNNNNNNNNNNNNNNNNNNNNNNNNNNNNNNNCGGGCGGUGGCAGCGGGACGGGCCGCGAGGGCCCGCGGUGGGCCGCGGCGGGCUCGGCGGCGGGCGGCGGAGCGCCGGGAUAGGUGGCGACUUGUGAUAGGACAGGGCGACGGCACUAGACAUGUCCGGCGCGGGACGGACGUGUCCGGCGACGCAAAGGAGAGUGGAGCUAGGGUUAGGGGUGAAAUUGAUCCGAAAAUUCAGGGGAGGGGGUGUUUAUAUAGGUAGAGGGAGCUAGGAGAGUCCAAAAGAGGUGCGGUUUUCGGCCACGUGAUCGUGAUCGAACGACCCAGAGCAUGGAAGGGAGUUUGCUGGGUUUUGGGCCACUUUGAAAGGGGUGUUGGGCUGCACACAAAAGAGGCCUUUACGGUUACCCGGUUAACCAUUGGAGUAUCAAACGACCUCCAAAUGGCACGAAACUUGACAGGUGGUCUACCGAUGGUGUACCAAGGCAGCUUGGCAAACCUCGGUCCAUUCCGAGUACAUUUAACACCCGCACAUGAAAAGAGGCAAAAGGGGGACGCCGGGGGACAUAGGAGUGCCAGAUUGCAAAACGGACUACGGGGAAAAUGCUCGGAUGCAUGAGACGAACACGUAUGCAAAAUGAAAUGCACAUGAUGACAUGGCAAUAUGCAACACGCAAGCACAUGACAUGGAAACGACGGAGAAUAACUGGCAGACACCUGGCGCAUCGGAUCCAGGGCGUUACAACACUCCUCCACUAACAAUAGAUCUCGUCCCGAGAUCUUAGGACCGAGACGGAAGGGAAAAGGGAUGAGGCAAAACAAGAACUCAAGAGAAGAAGCAAAGAAUCGAGAGCACUCGAGAAGAAGAGAUGAACGACGAGAAUGACGAGAAUUGAAAGCUCACGGAAUCAGAUAGACUAUGAGACCACUCCGGUUAGAACGAGAUAAGAAACGAAUAAGACUGAAAGGAUUUAGGCAGCACUCCGGCUGAAAAAAGGAAGGAUUAGAACAUGAAUUUCACAAGAUGGGAUGGCACUUGACGACAUAAGCAACGCAAUGCCUCCGGAAGAAUUGAAAGAAUGGAAGAAAAGAACUUAGAAGGAAGGAUUGAAUGGAGUUGUUGAGACAAUCAACAACGAAAAGAAUAAGCUUGUUGUGGUCUUAUAGGUAACAUCUCAAGAUCAUAAGGUGAUAACCGGCCACAAACGGAAAUGCUUGGAUAGCUGAGAACAACGAAGAAAAGCAAAACUCCACUUCAAAAGAAUACGGAGAAUUAAUUGCACUUCGAGAUGCAAGAAGAAAAGAUACUUGAACUCCACCGACAAGAAUCUUGAUGAACACUUGAAGAAUGAACUAAAUCAUGAAGAACCACCAUGAAGAACUCCGGUAACAAAAAGGAUGACGAGAUAAAAUGAAGGAUGAAAGAAUAAGAUUAGCCUUACGGUGAUUUAGAUGGGGGUUCCGACGAGAUGGCCGAGGAAAUUUGAACUCCGGGAAAAGAAAAGAUGAGAACACUUGGAACUAGAAUUUAUUCAUCCAGAACAAACUCCGAAGGAAGGGAUUACUCAAUUUGAUGAAAUAAGAAUAAGAUUUAUUGUAUGCUUAUCCUUCAUCAAAUUAAAUUGAUGACAAGCAAUGGAUUUUGCAUAGUACUUAUUCUUCUUGAAAAGUAUUGAGAAGUGACAUAUCGCAAACUUGAGAAGGUCUUCAUGAACCACCGGUAGGUUUUAAAAGAACGAAUGGAUUAAUAUGAUAAUCAAAGAAAAAGAAUCUUGAACGAACCACCGUAAAAAUUCGAAAAUGACUGAUGAAAGAGAAUGAAUCACCGGGAAGGAUUCGAAGAACAAUAUGCUAGAGGGAAAUUUAGAUGCAAAAGAACAGGAAGAACUCGAGCUGAUUAAAGAACAUUUGAUCGAAACGCCGGGAUAAAUAGAGAACGAUAACUGGAAUGAUGGCCUCCAGUGAAAAUAAAUGAAAAAAAACAAAUCCUGACAUACUCCGGAUGGUUAAGAAAAGGAAUAUUUGACAAACGGAAUAAUUCGAGAGGAUAACAUGAAGUUGGAACCAUGAAUCUUCGAGAGAACAGACAAGAUUUUGAGGAAAAACUCUUCUUCGGUCUUCAAAGCUGAGAAUGACGACGAGAAACAUCACUGAAAUUACUGAGAUACUCCGGGAGAAUGAAAAAUACGAAGGGUUGAACCAACAAUGAAAUGAUUUGAAAUCUAUCUUGGAAAAGGCACGUGACUGAUGAAAUUCAUUCUUACGUCACACUUGAAAAGAAUUGCGAAUAACUCUGGGGGAAUUAGAAGAGUCAGGUAAGAUCCUGGAAAAAAACCCUGUGGGUUAGGGCCCACUAAAGAGAUAACCCCGUUGGAAAGGAUUGUUGAAGAGAUAGAUGUUGCACCGGAACAAUUGAAAUAUUUGAAUGAGGUGACAACCUCGAAUUAAUUGGAACACAAACGAAUCUUCUGAGAUGUCUUGAACACUCCGGAAGGAUAAACUGGCGGGAGGCGAACGAGCAAGGGGAAAACAUUUGAGCCGAGGAAACGAAUAUGAUCAACACCAAAAAACUAGAAUUGGGUUCACCGGAAAAGAAAAAGAGAUGAAGAAUGUCGAACAAAACGAGAAUUCACCGGUUGAAAUAAUUGAGGGAAGACUGAAGAGGCUCCGUACGAAUGAAAUUGAUGCUCGAAAGAGACUCAGACUCCGGGAAGAAAAAGGGUGGGAGGGCGGGAAAAACAAAGGCAACUGGAAGUGGAAAACGAUGAAUAACUUCAAGAGGAAACACCGAUUGAAAUCAUUGAGGAAAGAAAGCAAAGACUUCGCACGAGUAGGAUGGAUACUCGAUUAUGGACUCCGGCUCCAAGAAGAAAAGGGUGGGCGGGUGGGAAAAACAAGGACAACUUCAGACAGGGAAACAACAUUGAUUGAAAAGAGCUGGGGAUUAAUCCUGCAGAAGAUGAUGAGGAUCGAAACCACUCGAAGAGAGGUGCACCGGAUUGAAAAGAGGAUGGGUAACUCACGAAACUAACCGCGUGAUCCUAAAGAAAAAUUUGAAGGGGAAGAGGAGUAGUUCAAAACACCUACAUCAAGAUUCCUCACCAGAGCGACGAAGGGGCAGAGGAGUAAAAAGAAUUCCUACUCUCCGAUAUAAUUAGACUCAGAAAACAGUUUUCUUCUAGACUCAACAAUGGCCAAACUACACGAUCAAUCAAGGGGGAUCCUAGGGUCGGUCGAGGCUCUGAUACCAACUUGUCACGCCCAAUAUGCGACCCUAUCCAAAAGGAACUCGAAGGUCCCACCAAGGAUAGACCCGCAUAUUGAAACGCUUUUGCAAGGUGGAUAUCAUUACAUCAACAUUACAUAAUAGAUGGGGAUACAUACAAAAGGCAUACAAUGCCACACGAAUACAACAUCAUCUUACAUAAGAGCACCAUCUGACUACGGAUGAAACACAAACAGAAACUCAAACAACAUCCACCCUGCUAGCCCAGGCUGCCGACCUGGAACCUAUCCCCUAAUCGAAGAAGAAGUAGAAGAAGAACUCCAAAACAAGCAAACAUCGCACUCACAUCAUGAUCAUCGCAUAACCUGUACCUGCAACUGUUGUUGUAGUAAUUUGUGAGCCACGAAGACUCAGCAAUCCCAUUACCAUGGGUAUCAAGACUAGCAAAGCUUAAUGGGAAAGGAAGGCGUAAAGUGGUGAUGUUGCAGCAGCGACUAAGCAUAAUAUGGUGGCUAACAUACGCGAAUAAGAGCGAGAAGAGAAGCAAAGGAACGGUCGUGAAGCUAGCAAUGAUCAAGAGGUGAUCCUGAACUCCUACUUAUGUCAAACAUAACCCAAAGACCGUGUUCACUUCCCGGACUCCGUCGAGAAGAGACCAUCACGGCUACACACGCGGUUGAUGCGUUUUAAUUCGGAUCUGGUGUCAAGUUAUCUACAACCGGACAUUAAUAAAUUCCCAUCUGCCACAUAACUGCGGGCACAGCUCUCGAAAGUUUAUACCCUGUAGGGGUGUCCCAACUUAGCCCAUGAUAAGAUCUCGCGAUCAACGAAGGAUAUUCCUUCUCCCAGGAAGACCCGAUCAGUCUCGAAAUCCCGGUUUACAAGACAUUUCGACAAUGGUAAAACAAGUCCAGCAAGACCGCCCGAUGCGCCAACAUCCCGAUAGGAGCUGCACAUAUCUCGUUCUCAGGGCAACACCGGAUGAACACUACGUACAACUAAAACCAGACCUCAAGUUUCCCCGAGGUGGCGCUGCAAGUGGCUCUAGUUCGGACCAACACUUAGACAAGCAUUGGCCGGGGGGGGGGGCUGAAUAAAGAUGACCCUUGAGAGAGCGACUCCCAAGGGAAAUGUAGGUGGUGGUGAGGCAAAUGGUAAAACCAAGGUUGGGCCUUGCUGGAGGAGUUUUAUUCAAAGCGAACUGUCAAGGGGGUCCCAUAAAUCACCGGACCGCGUAAGGAACGCAAAAUCUGGGAACAUAAUACCAGUAUGACGGAAACUAGGGCGGCAAGAGUGGAACAAAACACCAGGCAUAAGGCCGAGCCUUCCACCCUUUACCAAAUAUAUAGAUGCAUUAAUAAUAUAAGAGAUAUUGUGAUAUCCCAACCAAAAUCCUGUCCACCAUGGAGUAAUCUUCAACUUCACCUGCAACUAACAACGCUAUAAGAGGGGCUAAGCAAAGAGGUAACAUAGCCAAACAACGGUUUGCUAGGAAGGGUGUCAAAGGUUAGAGGUUCAUGGCAAUUAGGGAGGCUUGAAGAGAAAAUGAUAGGUAAUGCAGCAUAGCGAUAGAACGAAGCAACUAGCAUAGCAAUGAUAGUAGUGAGAUCCAGGGUAGCCGUCAUCUUGCCUGAAAUCCCGCAAGGAAGAAGAACGAGUCCAUGAAGAAGAUGAAGCCACAAAGACGAACCACACGUAGACGAACGCAUCCUCACGAUCGCCACGAAACGGGAACUAUCGAGAAGAAGCACACAACAUAGUAAACACACCACACAUGAACAAGACAUGAUGCAAAACAAGCAUGAUGCAUGACAAAGCUACAUGAAGCUACUCAUGGCAAGAUGUGAUGCAAACAAGAACAACACAUCAAGGCAAGUUUAAAUGAGGCCGGAAACAACAUAUAACAAUUCCGGUAAGUCCUCAUAUGCAAAUUUAGAAAUGGGUCCAGAUCUGAAUAAACCUUAUGUUCAAGUUGUUAAACAACAAGUUAAGAUGCACCAAUAUGAUCUACACGAGAUUCUAGUCAAGUUACAUAUAAAGUUCAUUUAGUUCGGAGCUACGGCCUAGAAGAUAUGAGCAAAACAAGUUAAGCAUGGCAUUGAUGCAAAAUGCACUCAAACAUCAAGCAAACACCUCAAAACAAGGAUUCAACAUGAUAAUAUGAAACUACAUGCAAAAUCAAGCAAGUUCCAUAUAGAGCACUCUCAAAACGGAGCGACGGUUCAACACAUACACUCUAUACAAGGCAUAACAACAAUAUGUCCAAAACAGCAACUAGGCAUAUUGCAAGCAUCAAAACAAUAUGCUACAGCACCACAAUAUGAAAACAAAAGGCAUGGUCAUGAUGUAUAGGUAAAGCAUGAAAAAACAUGAACACUGAGCUAUCUCCAGAAAUCAUUAGAUCGUGCUCCAAAACACAUGACAAGAUUGCAAAUAAUAACAGUUUCAGACUUAUCAGGAAAUAACAUCAGGUUGCAAUGUUUAGAGCUAUCAAACAACAUGUUACAGGAACUUAUCAUGACAAACAAAGGCAUGGCAUGAAUCUGCUAAACCCAUAGAACAAAAGUCCCUUACUGACCAUGAGCCAAAAGGGCAUAGAAAAUAUGAUGGCACCCAUGUAAACAUGGCAAGUUAUGACAGAUUCAUACAUGGCAGGAACAACAAUAAGUAGGCAUGUUGGUGAGCUUGAACCACUCACCACAGAGCAAUACAUGGCAUAUCAAGGCAACCAACAGUAAGAAGACAUGUUUAUGAAGGUAAGAAUGGCAAUAACAAGUUCAUAGGAUGCAUGGAUCACUAGCAAAGCACAUGGCCAAAACUGAACUUCAUGUUAACAGGCUAACAGCAACAUUAUUUAGCAAGUUUGGAGCAAGAUAACAACAAGCUACAGUAGGAUAUAAUUGCAACCAGGGGCAUGAAUGGAUAGAGCAUGACAUGUACAACAAAACAUCCUUAGUGAACAUCUCCAGAUUAUGCAUAGAAUGACUUGUAGCAGCAUGUUUACACAGCAACAAAAUAUAACAGAAUCAGUCAGGAAAACAGCAACAACAAGUACCCUACUUCACAAGCUCGAUGCACUGAGUACAAGAUUCACAAAAAUACAUGGAUGGCACCACUGGAAAGAUGGCAUAGCAUAGUUCAAAAAAUAUGUAGACAUCAACCUCAUAGGAUGCACACAUCAAACAUGGCAAAAAUGACAAACGAGCAUGUUAUAACAGUUUCAGCAGGUUAACAUCACAUAGCACUCUUACAACGAUGAUUCAGGCAUCAAGAUGAGCUCAAAUGAAAAUGAUGCAAUGAGAAGAAAUGAAGUACUCGUCGAGACAAACAAUUUGACAUAUUACAUGCACGAAACGUAGCAGUAUGCAUGGAGUUAUGAUGCAAUGAACAUGGCAUGAUAAUGUUGAAAAACUGGGACUUGGACGAAAAUCUCACCCCGCAAAAUCGGGACGGAACCGUUCGGGAUGGAGAGACCCGGGCGGGGACGCGCGUUUGGUUCGGAUCCCGGUGGAUCUCGUCCCGCCUGGACGGAUCUGACCGGAUCCGAACUCCGGCAAGGGCGGUGGUCUCCUGCGAGGUCUUGGCGGCGCGGGGAGGCGCGGGAGGCGGCGGCGAUCGACGGGGACCAGCGGGGCGGCGCGGGGUCGGUUGGCAGGGCGCCGGCGAGGCGAGCGGCCACGGGCAGAGGGCGCGGCGGCUCUAGUCGCCGCGGGNNNNNNNNNNNNNNNNNNNNNNNNNNNNNNNNNNNNNNNNNNNNNNNNNNNNNNNNNNNNNNNNNNNNNNNNNNNNNNNNNNNNNNNNNNNNNNNNNNNNNNNNNNNNNNNNNNNNNNNNNNNNNNNNNNNNNNNNNNNNNNNNNNNNNNNNNNNNNNNNNNNNNNNNNNNNNNNNNNNNNNNNNNNNNNNNNNNNNNNNNNNNNNNNNNNNNNNNNNNNNNNNNNNNNNNNNNNNNNNNNNNNNNNNNNNNNNNNNNNNNNNNNNNNNNNNNNNNNNNNNNNNNNNNNNNNNNNNNNNNNNNNNNNNNNNNNNNNNNNNNNNNNNNNNNNNNNNNNNNNNNNNNNNNNNNNNNNNNNNNNNNNNNNNNNNNNNNNNNNNNNNNNNNNNNNNNNNNNNNNNNNNNNNNNNNNNNNNNNNNNNNNNNNNNNNNNNNNNNNNNNNNNNNNNNNNNNNNNNNNNNNNNNNNNNNNNNNNNNNNNNNNNNNNNNNNNNNNNNNNNNNNNNNNNNNNNNNNNNNNNNNNNNNNNNNNNNNNNNNNNNNNNNNNNNNNNNNNNNNNNNNNNNNNNNNNNNNNNNNNNNUGCGCCGCGGCGGGCUCGGCGGCGGGCGGCGGAGCGCCGGGACAGGUAGCGACUUGUGAUAGGAUGGGGCGGCGGUGAUGGACAUGUCCGGCGCGGGACGGACGUGUCCGGCGGCGUAGAGGAGAGUGGAGCUUGGGUUAGGGGUGAAAUUGAUCCGAAAAUUCGGGGGAGGGGGUGUUUAUAUAGGUAGAGGGAGCUAGGAGAGUCCAAAAGAGGUGCGGUUUUCGGCCACGCGAUCAUGAUCGAACGACCGAGAGCAUGGAGGGGAGUUUGCUGGGUUUUGGGCCACUUUGAAAGGGGUGUUGGGCUGCACACAAAAGAGGCCUUUACGGUUACCCGGUUAACCGUUGGAGUAUCAAACGACCUCCAAAUGGCACGAAACUUGACAGGCGGUCUACCGGUGGUGUACCAAGGCCGCUUGGCAAACCUCGGUCCAUUCCAAGAACGUUUAACACCCGCACAUGAAAAGAGGCAAAAGGGGGACGCUGGGGGACAUAGGAGUGCCGGAUUGCAAAACGGACAACGGGGAAAAUGCUCGGAUGCAUGAGACGAACACGUAUGCAAAAUGAAAUGCACAUGUUGACAUGGCAAUAUGCAACACGCAAGCACAUGACAUGGCAAUGACGGCGAAUAACUGGCAGACACCUGGCGCAUCGGAUCCGGGGCAUUACAACAAGGGUCUCUAGAAAACUUUGGAGAGUAUCUUCAGAAUCUUCUGGUGCACCAAGAAAUCAUCUGGAGUGAGGGGCUCUUCGGGAGAAAGUAUUUUCGAGAACCUAGAGUUAGAGUUAACAAAAUCAUUUAACCCGAAUAGAAGAGAGAUCAGAGUCCCAGAGUAUAGACGAGGAAUAAAAGAUCCUAAUACCACCCAAUGGCAACAUGGGCCCGUAAGCCACAUAACCAUGUUAUUAAAACAGUUUUUCAAAGUCUAGACUCAACUUCGGCCAAGGAGUUGGAAAGGGGGAUCCUACAGGUAGUCAACUCUGACACCAACUUGUGACGCCCCCGAUUCAAUCAUACACUAAUCAUACACGCAAAAUGUGUACGAUCAAGAUCAGGAACUCACGGGAAGAUAUCACAACACAACUCUAGACACAAAUAAAAUAAUACAAGCUUCAUAUUACAAGCCAGGGGCCUUGAAGGCUCGAAUACAUAGCUCGAUACACAAGAGUCAGCGGAAGCAACAAUAUCUAAGGACAGACACAAGUUAAACAAAGAUGCCUUAAGAAGGCUAGCACAAAAGCAACAAUGAUCGAAGAGGCAAGGCCUCCUGCCUGGGACCUCCUAACUACUCCUGGCAUCGGCGGUCUCCACGUAGCAGUAUCCGUCGGUGGUGGCAUCUGGCUCCAGGGAUCCACCAUCUGGUUGCAUCAACCGGAAAUAAGAAAGAAGGGGGAAAAGGGGGUAGCAAAGCAACCGUGAGUACUCAUCCAAAGUACUCGCAAGCAUCAGAUCUAUACUAUGUAUGCAUUGGUAUCAAAUGGAAGGGUUGUAUAUGUGGACUGAACUACAGAAUGCCAGAAUAGAGGGGGAAGGCCUAGCCUAUCGAAGACUAGCAUCUUCAAGCAGCUCCAAGCAUCUUGCAUCAUGUAGAAGAGUAAAGAAUAGCAAUUUAUAAUUAUCAAACAUGUUGUAACAUUAACGCCUAGAGAUCCUUCCUCGACUCCCUACGAGAAAGCAAUCCCGGAGCCACAUAUCCAUCACAUAUCUCAAGUAUCCAUUUCUAGUUAUAUAAGAUCAGGAUAUAAGUCUGAACGUCCAUUACCGUGGACUCGGUAUUCGAAUAUAUAUCUUCCCUAUAGGGGUGCACCACGUUACCCAACACGCACGAUCACUCUGGCCGGGCACACCUUUCUGGGGUCAAUGCCCGGCCUCGGAAGAUCAAUAGGUCGCAACCCUACCUAGGCUCAGCAGAGAGGUCCCCGCUGGUCUACAUCCUAAGCACUCCGGGGUCUGGUCCCAUCGCCCGUUGCACUCCGGGUCGUUGCGAGCGGGGCGGACCAGGCUCCACCACUACAGGAUGGUGCCGGCCCAGCCGUGCCGCACUGCUGAACUGGACGUCCGACAAAGCUUCGGCUGAUACCACGACGUCGAGGCCCAUAUCUAUACUCGCGUGCUGGUUAGUGCGUAAAGGCCAGAGGUCAACUCAGAACAAAUACCCAAACCUGUUAGUGCAUUGGGGGCUCGCGAAAACGAGCAGAGACUCACGAUAAUGUGACCCUGUCGCCCCGUCUCGUGGACUUACGACAAGGGCCCAGACUACCCGGUCGUGCCACGUGGAAAACUCGCGGGUGCUCAACGGGCCCACCCGACUUUCACAUCAACUCGCGGGUACCCCUCAGGGCCGACCCGACUCCAACAAUGGUCUCAAGUAAAGUCAAGGUAAUUGUGUGUCCAGACAUCAAAGGGAAAACCCAAGGAAUCACCCCCGGUGGAUUCCACUCAAUGUAAUCAUCAAGGUGAACGUAAGAGGGACCACCCUCGAGGUUCACACUUGAGGUGUUGAACGGCAGAGCCGUAUCAGGAAUGGUGAAACAGGAAAUCACCCUCGAUGACCACGACCGAAUAGCUACACUACAGAAUUAUCAUCAGGAGUGCGUUAUGAGGGAUCACCCUCGGCACUCGAUAGUAGCUCUGCAGAGUCGAUCAACAAAAGGGGCGUGAUGUGAUGUGAGGUGUCGGGCUGUGGUCGUCGAUCAUGUCGAUCGAGGCGUCGAUGAUGAAGCAGGGGCAACAAGAACAAGUGGGGGUCACUGAUGGAUCACUAGCCAACCUGUACUAAGCAGUUUGGGAUAAGCAGGUAGGGAACAAUAAGCAGGUACAAAAGUAGGCUAUGCAUCAGAAUAGGAGCAAACAAUAACAGUUGCAAAAUCUAAUGCAAGCAUGAGAGUAUAGAAUGGGCGAUAUCGGGAUGAUCAAAGGGGGGGCUUGCCUGGUUGCUCAGACAAGAAGGAGGGUCGUCGGUGACAUAGCCGAUCACAGUGGCAUCAGCAGCGGUCUCAGGGUCUACCAGAGAGAAGAGGGGGAAGAAACAGUAAAUACACGCAAACAUAUGCAUAACAUGACAAUAAGCGAUGCUAGAGGUGUUCUAACGCAGGGUUACACGAUACCGGUAAAGGGAGACAACAUCCGGGAAAGUUUUCCCAGUUUCGGACGUUUGUCAGACACAUGAACCGAAGGGGAAAUGUUGCAUGUUCGCUAUGCUAGGUACGUGUGGCGGAUGAACGGACCGCAUGUUCGGAUUCGUCUCGUCGUUCAGAGAAACUUUCAUGUAUAAAACUUUUUCAUCUGAGCUACGGCUUAUUUUCUAUGAUUUUCAAAGAUUUAAACAUUAUUUUGGAAUUUAAUUUAAUUCGAAAAUAAAUAACAAAAUGCUACGUGUACCAAACUCCGUGUACACAGAAGUGUACCAGAGCUGACAUGUGGGCCAGGGGUCCUAGUUGACCAGUCAAUGUUUGACUGGUCAAUAGGGGGUGGGGCCCCCUGUCAUACACCGUUUAGUCUAGUCUAAUAGGUUAGUUAACUAAGCUAGGUGGUUAGUAUAAUUAAGUAUAAUUUAUUAAGUUAAUUAAGCAUUUAACUAAUUAAUUAAUUAUUUUUAUAAUAAAUAUAUUUUUUACAUUUCUUCUAAAAAACAGGGGCGUGGGGCCUCGCUGUCAUAACCCUAGGAGCCUAGUGGGCGAAGGGCGUCACGGUGCUUGCGUGGACGCCCGCCCGAACGGCCACGGCAGAGGUGAACGCUCCAGGGCGCUGGCGCUGGACGCCGGAGGUGGCCACGGGGAUCAUCGGCGAUGCGGUGGGGCGACAAAGGAGGCGGCACGAGGCGAGCAGGCGCCGUGCGGGGGCAGGGAGGAGGCCAGGUGCGAGGCCAUGGGGAAGCAGCUGCUGCGCAGCAGUACACGGGCGAGCGCGCACGUGCGGACGAGCCGAGUACGACCCCGGGCGACAGCACACGCAUGUGGGAAGAAGGGGGAUUCGAGGAGGGGCUCACGAAGAUCCGGUAGAGCAGGUCAGUGGGCUCGGGGAGGCGCUGAUGAUGGCAAAUCGACAGCGACGAGCUUCGGCGACCAACGGUGAAGACGAAGACGGUGACGUUGAUGGGGCGGCUCCCCCUGCUUGAUCUGGCCCCGAAGCCACCAUAGACAAGGACGGCGGUCCUCCUCGACACUAGCAGAUGGCGAACUGGCGCCAAUGGCCAUGGUGGUUUGCGGCGGCGUGCUCCUGUACAUGGCUAGUAGCUCGAUCCACAGCGAGGGAGAGGCGAGGAAGAGGGGGAAAACAACUAGGAUUCGACAGAGGGGGAGGGUCGACGACGCUUUGUAGGGUGCUGGGUGUGUCGGAUGGCCGCCACGCAAGGCAUGGCGCGGCCAUUGUCGGAUGUUGGGUUCCGGCAGACCCUUAAGGUUUGAACUCUGGGGUGCGCAUGAAGAUCUCUCCCCUAUCGAUCUACGUCCGAUCGCCUCACGUGAUCUAAGCUGAAAACGAUGAACGACACGAGGGACACAAGAUUUAUACUGGUUCGGGCCACCAUUGUGGUGUAAUACCCUACUCCAGUGUGUGGUGUGGUGGAUUGCCUCUAGGGCUGGUGAUGAACAGUACAAGGGAAGAACGGCCUCGCGAGAGGUGUUCUUGAGCUGGUGCGAUGAACUGCUUGGGUGAGUUUGAUCGCCUCUCUCUCUCUCUCUCUCUCUCUCUCUCUCUCUCUCUCUCUUUCUGCUGAAUAUCCGAUCAGAUCCCCCAUACUCUGUGGUGGCUAGCUAUAUUUAUAGAGGCCCUCGUCCUCUUCCCAAAUAUUGAGCGGGAAGGGUGCCAACAACGGCCAUUUUGAAGGGGAACAUCUAGUACAAGUUAUCCUGACUAAAGUUGGUCUUCGGCUGCCAAAAGCACUGGUGAUGACAUUUUCUUGGGCUCCACGGUGACCUCCAUCCUGCCGCUCUGCUGGUCUUGGUCUUGUUGCACUGAAAUGGCAACCAUUGCCUGAUGCCUCUGUACUCCACGCCUGUGCUUGCCCCCUUUGCACCAAAGAGGAAACAAGGACACUGCUCAGGCCGGUGCCCGCCUGGCGCCCGGCUGGUCUCGAUCGUCAUGGCUUGCAUCACGAGCACCUCGCGAGGUACCCUGCCUUGAUCUCUCCGCCUCCUCGCGAGCCUGCCUGGCGAGGCCGUCCCUGAGGAAGCCUUGCAUUAUCCGCCCCGCGAGUCUUGGCCCCUCGCGAGGGUCUUGAGUCUUGUGCUGAUGAAGAUGGGCCGUACUGGGCCACCACUUGAGCCACGCCGCAGGCCGCAGGCAGGCAAGUCUGGGGACCCCCGUUCCCAGAACACCGACAGUAGCCCCCGGGCCCAAGGCGCGGUCAGACUUGGCUUAGCGGAGAAGCGAAGGGGCAAGUGUAGAGAGCCGUGGGCCCCAUCAGCCUGCGGCCUUGGGCGCCACUUGGUGGUUGAUUGGACGUGGGCGUCUCCGCUUCCCCAUGCUGCCUCAGCAACUUCUCGACUGACAAAAGGCUGGCUCUGGGUUAGCCUUACCUCAUUACCCUCGUUCUCCUUGCUCUAGAUCCCUUUUCCUGCCACCAAAAUCUCCAGAUCUGCCGCAUUCUUUCUCCUCCAGCAAACUAUGCCCCCCCGCAAGACUCCGGCUGGGGCUGCAUCGGCCUGGUACUCGCCGGCCCUGGUCUCUCCCAACGUGAUGGAAAAGAAUCUCACCCUCACGCGCCGGAUGGCGGCGUCGCAGAUCAACGAGAUGGGGGAGACUGCGCUCCGUCUUGGCUCCGCCCAGCCAGAGGACAAGGGGAGCACCUUCUACCCCUUCUUAUUGAACGCCGUCAUCGCUGGUCUGGUUCCUCCCUUCUCUGAGUUCUUCCUUGCCGUCCUUCGCCAGUAUCAGCUGCAUGCUCUGCAUAUCCACCCCAACUCCAUACUCCUCUUGUUGAUCUUCGCCUACUACUGUGAGGUGCACGUCGGGGUGGCGCCCUCCGUGGCCUUGCUGCGCCACUUCUUCUCCCUCCGGGUCUCCGGCGGCAAUAUCUCGGCGUGCGCGAGUUUUGUCGCGUACUCCAAAUCCAACGCCAUCUCGAAGGCCGGGAAGGGGGCUGAGGGCUUCCGGAGCAAGUGGGUCAUGGUGAACGCUGGGUGUCACAACCCCCUGCUGGAGUUGCCGACAAAGCGGCCCAAGGCUGUUGAGGCGUGAUCCCGCGCGAAGCUCGAUGAUCGGCGGGUGAAGUGGGUGAUGGACAAGAUGAACGCCGACCUGAGGCCGGGCAGUCUGAGGGCGGCGAAGCUGACCGGGGCCUCUCUCCUGAGGGAGUUUCUGUUGCACCGGGUGGCCCCUCUCCAGGCACACCCGCGCCCGCUGUGGACGCUCGCGGAUGCGGAUGUCGUCCUCCACCUGAGCUUGGACGCCCUGAGCGACGAGGAUCUGACUGCGGCUCUCCGCUGCUUGGUUGGAGAGGAAGUGGCAGGCCCGGUGGAUGCUCCGGUCCCUUUGUUCCUCCGUGAGGACUGGGAGCUGGUGGUGGACGCCAUGCCCACCUUUGACGGAGUCGGCCUGGUGCCAUCAGAGGAUCCUGAGGGUCAGGCGGCGACGGUGACGGUGAACCUAUCCUCUGGUGAAUCCAGCGGAGAAGAGGAGGGAGAUGCCGACGAGGAUGAGGAGCGUGACUCGGAUGCGACCUUUGAGGGGACAUGGGAGACUUCUCCCUGGCGUAGGGCGAGCACCCUGCGCUUCAUGCGUGACGACGACGAGGCCGACGCUAGGCGGGGAGGGGAGGAUGCGCCCCUGGUCCCGAGGAAGGACGGGUCCGGGCUAAUCUCCCGAGGGGCUUCACCAGCCCGCGCGUCGGCCGGGGCCAACUUUAGCUCUUCAGGUGCGCCUUCUUCUGCGACCGGGCCUCCCGAGGCUAAGCCCCGCAAGAGGCUUUCGGGCUUCAAGCUUGGCCGGAGUCCGUGGGAUCCCGCGGCGGUCAACAAGUAAGUAUCCGAACUUCGCCUCGCCCCUGUCUUUUUGCUGUCAAAGCCUGACAUCUUCCAUUGGGUAGGUUGCUACCUGCAGCAAAGAGGCUGA